GUAGAGAAGGUAAAAAGGAAGUCUAUAUAAGGAGGGGAACGAGCUUUGUUUAUAGCACAAGUGAAACUCCACUUUAUUGAACGAUGGGGUCUCAAAUGGGCUGCCUCUUUGCCACUCUUUUGGUAGUAUCAGUCUCUCUUAGCUACUUGCCGUUAGAAGCCUCCGCAAACAAAUACUACUACACAUCUCCUCCCCCUCCCAAGUACAAGUCUCCACCACCACCCCCGCCACCGGUUCACAAUUCUCCACCACCACCCCCGGUUUACCUGCCCCCGCCACCUCCUCCACCAGUCUACGUGCCUGCUCCGGCACCAACUCCAAUUUUCCCUUCUCCGCCACCUCCUGUCCCCAAGUCCCCACCACCACCUCACCCUUACGUCUAUGCAUCUCCCCCUCCUCCUUACUACUACUAGAAAGCGGCCAUGAAUAGCUCAUGCUUUUAUGGUAAUCUCAUUUAUUUUUAAAACUGUACAUGUAAAGACUAGUAGUUCAGAAUUACAUUAAGCAUUUCAAUUUUAAGCACCGUGUUCUGUUUAAUUGCGUUCCUAUUGAUUAAGUGACAAAUAAAAGAGAUUGAUUAAUUUGUUCUUGUAGGAGAGGCGAAUGGUAUCCGAAUAAAGAAAGCAAGGGUUUGAUGGAAGGCUUACUUGGAGCAAGAUAGCGAUCAAUCGAGUUGCUGCGUUUUAUUCUCUUUUAUCUUUGUUUUUUAAGAAAAAUAAACUGCCACACGUAGAAACAGAAAAUUAAGUUCUUGUCAUUUUCAUGCAUAUGGAUUGUUGCUGUGUGUGUCAAUCAAAUCUCCGUUGUGUCAUUUGUAAUUUUCAACCUUUAUGCAUGCAAAUGCGAGACCUCUUACGUAUAAUAAAAUUAAUAUACUUCCCAAGAUGGUCUUAUCUUGCGUUGACUUUUUACGUUCCUUUGGUGAUGAUUUUGACGUUUGAAAUUGAUGACUAAUUGACUAUUGUUUUUGUAAACUCUGACAUGGAUUUUUCGUGCAACUACAGAGCGCAUUAACGAGAGACUUAUCCAUGAGGGUCCAUGCAGAUCAGUGUCUAAUUAACCAAUAAUUAAUAUAACUAAAAAAAUAUAGAGUUAACUAUUUUUAUGGGUCAGGCUCAAUUGCAGAUGUUCGUACAAAAUUUCUUGCUAAUGUAUACUUGAGUAUGAUAAUAAGUUUUUAAUCAUUAUUAAUAAUUCACUUGAUAAUAUUAAACAAAUUUUCAUAUCAAUUAAGUUACAAAAUUUCUGUGACAAAUUUCCGCGUACUGGAACCAUGCAAAAGGGCUUUAUUCAAACAAAACUGCAUAGCCGUUGGCAAUUAAAAUUAUUUAUCAAUUAAGUUAAGUAGUAAGAAUUGGAUUGUGGAUUCCAUUAAUUAUUUCAAGGAAAAUUUUAUAGAUAAUGCCGUAAUGAAAUUUACGGCAUCAAUACCAUGAUAAAUAUAAAUAUUGUAAAUUACAAAUAGAAUUAGUAAAUGUAAAGUAAAACCAGUAAAUUCAUAAAAGAUUAUUAAUUAUUUAAAAAAUUAACAUUGUUUCUACAUAAUUUUAGUGAAAAAUAUUUUAUUCAUUUACAAAAACAUUUCUUUAAUUAAACAAAAAAAUUCAUUAAUUAAGCAAAAAAAUUAUACUGAAAAAAAAGUGGAAUAAGUUUAAUUGAAUUGGUUAUCAUAAAUUCUAUAUUUAGUCUAGGACAUUUUUAUACAUUUUCUUCCCAUUUUCGAUAAUGAUAUCUAUUUGUUACACAUGUUAAUUAAGUGCAAUUAUUUAUCUUGAUGUGGAUCAAGUAAAAAAAUAUCAUAAAUAAGAUAUCAAUAAAAUUAGAUCUAAUUUUGAAUAUUAUGUAUACUUUAUGUAGUUUCAAACUUUUUACUUGUAUUUGGAGACCAUUUAAGGUUGUUGUUGAAGAAGUGUAGAAAGAUGUAAAAUAACUUCAUCUUACAACAACUAUGAAAGAUAUUAAAAUAAUAAUUUUUUCAAAAUCCGAUUUUGAGAAAAAAAUUCAUCCUUAAUUAAACAUCACAUGUAUUAUAGAAAUGCAAAACUACCAUUGUUAUAUUUAACUUAAAAAAUAAUAAAUAUAUAAGGUAAUAAACAUUAUAAAGAGUUUUUAUUUUAAAAUUGUAAACUUUUGUUUCUGACAAUAACUCUUAUAUUAAUUUAUUUAUUUUGCCUUUUAUUCAUAAGUUUUAUGCAUAAUUUACAAACUUUAAGUUUUAUUUUGCAUUUUAUGUUGAUUUGGUUUUUUUAUAUUAUACGUACAAGUUUUCUUUUUAUUUACCAGUAAUACAUCAAUUUAUCAGCUUGAUAGUAAUUUACUUAUUUUACCUUCCUUUUACAAUUCUUAUGUUUCAUUUCCAAAAUUUAUGUUUUAUUUUACAGUUGUUGAUGAUUUACUAGUUUUAUGUUAUGUUUGCAAGUUUUUGUUUUGUUUACUAGUAAUAGAUUAAUGGGUAAUUUUUAAUUGAGUCCUCAUUAGUUCUAGAAAAACAAUUCAGAGACCAGAAGUUUACUAAAUGAAUCAAUUAAAUUCUUUCAAGUACAAACUAAUGUCAUUCAAGUCCUUAACUUAAUUGGUCAGUUAAAAAUAUUAACAACGUUGAGGACAUUUUAGUAAAACAACAAUUGAGUCGUUUCUCAUUCUUUAUUUUUGACAGGUGGAAAUAGUUUAAAGUAAACUCACUUAACCUGAUUAAGUUAAGGAUCAGUUCUUUCAAAUGAAAAAAAAAAAAAAAAACCUACAGAAACUGCCAUAUUCUUCGUGUGGGAGGAGAGAUCGAGAGAACGUGGGAUGGUGCAAAAAAUGUUGUAUAAAUCUACUGUGAUUUUGACCAAAGCUUUGGUAGCAUUGAUUGAGUUCAAGUACUGGAGAGAACCUGAGUUUAAAGGUUAGUAACUCUAUUUUUUUAGUGAUUUUUGCAAGCAUUUUCUGAUAAAAAAUUUUCCGUAUUGAGUGAUCGUUGUGAAAAAUUAAGUUUUUCAAGUCUAUUUUACAAAAUGACAAACUAUGUUUAAUUAUUGGUGGAUUCUUUUUUUUGUUCAAUGUUGUAUUUUGUUAAUUUGUUGUUUUUAAUUUGCUCUUAAUGUAAUUGUUAGACCAAAUACACCAUUAUUAUACCUAUAUUCAUUUCAACAAUUUGGUAUCGUUAUAUUAAUAAGAUUGAAUUCAUUGUAUUUGCUUCUUUGUUCAUGUAAAAUUGAAUUCUAUGUAUUCUUAUGAGUGAUAAUUUUUCUAUCUAUUAGACUAAAUUCACUAUAUUCACUACUUUCUUUCUUUUUGCUGGGCUAUUUUUUCUUUUUAGUUUAUAUUUUUAUAUGUAUUAGAUUGAAUUUGCUUUUGUACGUUUUUUUAGCCGAAUUACAUGUAUAUUUCAUUUAGGUUGAGUUUUUUUUGUUGUUUGCUAAAUAAAAUUAUAUUGGUUUAUCCCCUUUUUAUGCAAUACUUUUUGUUUAAAAUUAAUACAGUUAGCCAUGUUACCUUUUUUUUCAGUUAAAAUUAAUGGGGUGAUGUAGGCGAUAGGAUAUAGGGAACCAGAGGAAUAUAAGAUUAUUAGGCUGUUUCUUGAAAUUCAAGAUGUCAUGGUUAAGCAUGGACACAGUGAAAUGGAUUUGAUUGAAAUUUUUGUUGUAUUGCCAUGGACUACAAGUGGCCAGAGGAAGCUAAUUUCAAACGAUAGUGAAUUGUAUUGGGUUUUCGAGGAGUUUUUUUUAAUCAAUAGUUGUCCUGUCAUUGAGUUUGAGGUGCACACUGGGUCAGGUGGUCAGUCAUUUCAUGAAAGUGUUGUAAUAGGACCUGAAAAUCCUGUCAAUAUUAAAAAUUAGUGUUGUAAUAGUGAUAAGUUUGAAAAUGUUGUGGCUAAAAAGGUCUGCCUAGAAUAAUUGGUACUUCUUUAUUUGCCUCAAAGUCCAACACUAUGAAAUCCACAAGGAAAAAGAAUUUAUCCACUUUAACCAGCACGUCUUCAAUCUUGCCUUCAGGAUAAGCAUGAGAUCUGGCAGCACAUUGCAAUGUCACUGUGGUUGGUUUGACUUCUCCAACUCCCAAUUGCUUGAAUUCUGAUAAUGUCAUAAGAUUGAUGCUUGCUCCCAAACCACAAAGUGUCUUGCCACUGUAUUUAGUCCCUAUGGAACAAUGAAUUGUGAAACUUCCUGGAUCCUUCAACUUCUGAGGCAUUUUACUCUGAAGCAUAUGGCUGCAUUCUUGUGUUAGACCAACUAUUUCAAAUUCUCCGAGCCUCAUUUUCCUUGCCAAUAUACAUUUCCAAAAACUUUACAUAAUUUGGCAUUUGUUCUAAUGCUUCCACAAAAGAAAUGUUGAUAUGCAGUUCUUUCCAUACUUCCAAGAAUUUACUGAACUGCAUGUCUUGCUUUCGCUUUUGAAAUCUUUGUGGGAAGGGUGGUGGAUGUGUAAAUUGUUGUACUGCAGCAGACUAUACAUAUUGCUUUUCUCUUGCUCUAUUAUGGUAUGUUAUUAUUGGUGUUGCAGCUUCUUCCUCAACAAGCAUUGAAUCAUGUUUUUUUGCAGUUGCUAUAACUUAGCAACUCUCACCAGUGUGCUGGAAAAUGGGUUGUUGUGUCUCUUCUUUAAUUUGAGUUUCCCCUUGGGUUGAAUUAGGUUCCACUCUUCUUUUUGGUACUUUAACAAGUAUAUGAACAUCCUUUCCAAACCUUAAGUUAAUCCCCUUACAAUGCUCUUUUCCUUCUCUCUUUCGAUCCUCUGUAUUGUUUAGUAAAUUGUCCUGAGGUAUGUUGCUCAAUUUUGUAGCAAGCUGUCCAAUCUUAUUCUCCAAGUUUCUUAAAAAUACAGCUUGGCUUUAGACCACUACUUCAAUCUUUACAAUAUACUCCUUAAUCAGAGUUUCAAUGGAACUAAAUUGAUCAUUACUGGUGUUUCUUUACCCUUCAAAUUUCUGGUGAAAAUCAGGUGGCUGAGCAAGUCUGUUCUGUCCACUGGAUGCUGCAGCAUGCUGAUUCUGAUUGCUCCUUUUAAAAUUUGGGUGAUGUCUCCAUCCUAGGUUAUAGGUGUUUGAAAAUGGAUUGCUUUGAUUUUGUUUAUUAAAAUUGCCCACAUAAUUGACGGAAGCUGAAUUCCUAGGACAAUUAUGAUAUAGAUGUCCCUCUCCAUAAUAAACACAAGAGACUUCAGCAAUUUGGUUAACUGUUGCCGGAGCAGUGGCCGUUGCUUUUACCAUAUUUGUCAAUGAGGUUACUUAGGCUGAUAAUGUUGUCAGUGCAUCCACAUUGUGUACUCCUGCUGCUCCUCUCACUGUGGCUUGUCUAGUUGAUGGCCAUUGAUAGUUAUCCUUUCUAAAAUUUCAUAAGCCUCAUUAUAUGAGUUAGACAAUAAAGCCCCUAGUUAUUGAGUUCAACCCAUUGUAGAAAGUUUCCAAUUGUAUGCAAUAAGGAAUACCAUGAUGAGGGCAUCUCCUGAGUAACCCCUUGAAUCUUUCUCAUGCAUCAUACAAGCUUUCAUCUUCAAGUUGAUGGAAAGAUGUGAUCUCAUUCUUCAACUUUGCAUUCUUUGUUGGUGGGAAAUAUUUCAUCAAAAGUUUGUCAGCCAAAUAAUUCCAUGUGGUGAUGGAGUCUGGUUGCAAAGAACUCCACUGUACCAACUAAAAUUGAUUUCACAAAACACAAUAAGCACCAAUCCCCGGCAACGGCGCAAAAAACUUGUUGUCGAUUUUCUAAUGCUAUUAGUGUCAAUGUGAAAAUGUACACAACAAGUAAUAUAACGAUAAGUAUUCACUCCACAAGGAUUAUUAUUAUAGGAAUUGCUACAGUAAUUCUAUCAGUGCCAUUCUUAUUAUAAAUUAGAAUUUAAACAAAUUAUUCAACUAAUGAACUAAGGCAGAUCUUAUUGGGCUAGUCGGCAAUGUGUUGCUUUAGGUCGUGUGGAAUAGUUGCGGGAGUGAUCUUGCAUGAUGUGUGGAGCUAUAACAGUGCUGAGCAUGGGCCAAUCUAUGGGCUCAUGGAACUAGCGAACCUAAUCUAGAAUUUCGAGGAAGAGUACUCUGGUUAGUACUCUAAAUUACCUUAUUAUAUUUUGCACAAACAGAGGCAUGUUAGUGAAAUAAUAUCUAAGCAACCCAAGAGGGGGGUGAAUUGGGUUUCUAAAAAUUAUGCAAUUCUUAAACAAAACUUAAUGCAAAUCUUAAACGAAUUUAAAGCAAUAAUACAUAAAUCAACCAAGGUAUAAAAAGAUAAGGGAAGAGAGAUUAAAACACAGAGAGUUUUACGUGGUUCGGCCAACCUUGCCUACAUCCACACCCCCAAGCACACCGAGCUUGGGCAUUCCACUAGUCAAGCCUUCAAGGCUUCAAGAACACUUACAAUUGACUUCUUAGGUGUCAAUCAACCUUUACAUCUAGAGAUUAUCCCCAAUCUCUUAACCCAAGUGUAUCCCAAUAUUUACAAUCACUCAAAAUAAAGAUUACAAAUUUAUUUUUCUCUCACACAAUUUUUUAAGAUUACAAAUCAACGCUUAAUGUGUGAAUAAAUGAACAAGAAUGAAUUUGAAGCUCAAUGAAUGUUGUAUUCUCGAUUAUAAGCUCAAUGAUAACGUUGUGAUAAGCUCUUGUUUGAAUUUGAUUGAUCUUAUUUAUAGUUGGAGUUGAAAAAUAGCCAUUGUUGACUUUUUCCCGAAAUUGGAUCGCCGUUAACCGUUAUCGGUUAACCGUUUUGACUGGUCCAAGUGACCGUUGAGCUGAAUUUCAAAUAAACGGUUGAUCUUUUGACACUAUCGGUUUGCUGUUAAUUUCCAUAAACCUGUAAAACAAAUUUAUGCUAUUCGUUCUUGCUAAACGGUUGAAGGUCAGCAUGGAAUGACAUUCUAGAAAUUAUUGGUUGGCCGUUUGAAGUUCACGGUUCACCGUUUACUUCUAGAAUCACAGUUUUAACCAAAUUUCGCAGGGAAUGCUUUUUCGGUUAAAGUUAACGAUUAUCCAUAUUUCAUGAACACAUUUAGAAAAAUCAUACGACUUUUGAGAAAUUGUUUAGUAAUGAAAACUCUAACAUUUUAAUCAAAUACAUUUAAAGUUUGUUAUCAUCAAAAUCAAUAUAAUGAACAUCUACAUGUUAACAGUUAGGCCUUGAUUAUUUUUUAAAUCUUAUAAGAUAUAGAGUGAUAAUAGUAACUCAAUUUUCAUAAAACGUGGAAAGAUCAGUCGCCAAAUUUAUAGAUGCCAUAGAAAAUCUAGAUUUUAGUAAGGAAUAUCAAGUUAUUUAUACAAUGAAAAUUGUUAAAACUCGAUUAAUUGCAAGGAAACACUUUUAGAGAGAUAUGGAGAGAAUAAACUUUGAAGAUAACAAUGAAAUACAUGACACAUUUAAGGAAGAAAAUAUAAUAGUAUUAAUAGAAUCUAUUUUAACCAGUCUUAAGAUAAUUCAAGAUUGAUGCAAAAUAAAUAACAGGACUCUAAACCGUCCAUAAUAAGUCUAUUGAUUAAUAAUAAUAAUAAUAGUGAUGUGAAAUUUUUUAUUCAGAAUGCUCAAUUUAGAUUAUAAUAUCUAUGUGAAAGCAUUGAUGGCAUGUACCUUGGUUAGGAAAAUAGAUUGGACACAUGGAUAUAUAUGUUGGAAGAACAAAUCUAGUUUAUAUCUCAAGAGAGAUAAUAAAUUAUAAAUGCCGGUGCUAUAGUAUAUUCAGAUUUUAUAAAUCUUUAUAAAUUUAAUAAUCAUUUAGAUCUUCAUAAAAUUAUAAUAAAACUUUAAAAAACUUUAAAAAUAUAUGUAGAAGAGAUGGAAGAAGAAAUCAUCCAGUUAUUCAAAAUCAAUUAAACAGAAAUAGAAGGUAAAAUCCUUGAAUUAUAUAAAUUAUACAAUUUCACAGAAAUUUUGCAUAUAUUGCAAAACGGUCCUUGUGGCACUAAUUAUGGGACUAGUGUAGCAUAAAUACUAAUAUUGCUUUUUAUUUUGUAAAUUAAUUGUUGCGUCAUAAUGUUUUUACAUACACAUUUUAUGUUUUAAAAUAUGAAUUUUUUUUUUUUGUAUUUAGGGAUAAUUUUACAAUUUCAUACUUUGUUCAAUUAUAUAUACAGGUCCUUAACGUGUUGGUUGAUGUUGAAUAUUCAAAGAUCCACAAGCUAUCAACGACAACGAAUCAAAUUAAACUAAUUAGUUAAUACAUAAUGACUGGGUUGUUUCCUAUGUUGUUAAUGAUGUAGGACGUUAUUUUAGGAUUUUAGAAUUGUAAUUUUUAGGUCUUCUGAUAUUUUCUUUUUUAAUUAAAGUUAGUGUCUUAGUUUUUUAUUUAUUUAUGUUAUAAUUAUAAUUUACUUUCUCUUUUUAAGUUAACUUAGGAAAAUAUAUUUACUGUAUUAUAAAUAAAGAGAUCUUGUUAUUACUUUAUAACUUCAACUUCAGUUAUUCAAUUAAAAACCCCUCUUUUAUAAUUUCAUUUUGUAUUAUUUAUUAAAAACCCCUCUUUUAAAGUUGUUUGAUUAGAGCAUCAUCCAGCCUUGCUUAACGCAGUAUUAAAAAUCCAUUUGAGUUUAAUCACACUUCGAUUAGAGCGUAACUUAAUUGCAUUGACUUGGUCCAGUACUUGAACGAUAUCUAGUGUUUUGCUUCCGCUAUGCCAAGGAGAAAAUUAAUUUCACCGUGAGAUAAGAGCAUUAAAAGGAAUUCAUAAGAAAUUUAAAUUAAAGCUAUAUAUGUUAAAUAUAUCGCUAGCUACUUGUUUUUGGAGGAAUUAAAACAAUUAAUAAGCUGCGAAGUGAAAAUGAAUAAAUAAAUGAAAUGAGGUUGAAAAUAAGUCUCGCCGCCUGGAUCCAAGGCCAAAACAUUCAUGAUAAGUUAGGUAAUUAAGUACAUGUUUUCAAGCUCUUCAUGAAGAAUAACGUUAUUGAAAUAAAUCACAAAGACUCCCUGCGCAAAUUAUUACAUUGAUUAAAAAAAAAAAGCCAUAUCUUUAACAGGAUCGUGACUCUCGGACUGUUAAUUACUUUAUUCCCUGCUUGGCCAACAGCUGGCCACUAAACAAAAUCAUAAAAAUUUUAAAUUUAGUCAAAUUGGUCCCACUUGAUGACAUCCUUUCCAUACAUAAAAUUGUUUAACGUCAAGGUUAAAUAUGAGAAGUUUGGUAGAGAAGGUAAAAAGGAAGUCUAUAUAAGGAGGGGAACGAGCUUUGUUUAUAGCACAAGUGAAACUCCACUUUAUUGAACGAUGGGGUCUCAAAUGGGCUGCCUCUUUGCCACUCUUUUGGUAGUAUCAGUCUCUCUUAGCUACUUGCCGUUAGAAGCCUCCGCAAACAAAUACUACUACACAUCUCCUCCCCCUCCCAAAUACAAGUCUCCACCACCACCCCCGCCACCGGUUCACAAUUCUCCACCACCACCCCCGGUUUACCUGCCCCCGCCACCUCCUCCACCAGUCUACGUGCCUGCUCCGGCACCAACUCCAAUUUUCCCUUCUCCGCCACCUCCUGUCCCCAAGUCCCCACCACCACCUCACCCUUACAUCUAUGCAUCUCCCCCUCCUCCUUACUACUACUAGAAAGUGGCCAUGAAUAGCUCAUGCUUUUAUGGUAAUCUCAUUUAUUUUUAAAACUGUACAUGUAAAGACUAGUAGUUCAGAAUUACAUUAAGCAUUUCAAUUUUAAGCACCGUGUUCUGUUUAAUUGCGUUCCUAUUGAUUAAGUGACAAAUAAAAGAGAUUGAUUAAUUUGUUCUUGUAGGAGAGGCGAAUGGUUUCCGAAUAAAGAAAGCAAGGGUUUGAUGGAAGGCUUACUUGGAGCAAGAGAGCGAUCAAUCGAGUUGCUGCGUUUUAUUCUCUUUUAUCUUUGUUUUUUAAGAAAAAUAAACUGCCACACGUAGAAACAGAAAAUUAAGUUCUUGUCAUUUUCAUGCAUAUGGAUUGUUGCUGUGUGUGUCAAUCAAAUCUCCGUUGUGUCAUUUGUAAUUUUCAACCUUUAUGCAUGCAAAUGCGAGACCUCUUACGUAUAAUAAAAUUAAUAUACUUCCAAAGAUGGUCUUAUCUUGCGUUGACUUUUUACGUUCCUUUGGUGAUGAUUUUGACGUUUGAAAUUGAUGACUAUUGUUUUUGUAAACUCUGACAUGGAUUUUUCGUGCAACUACAGAGCGCAUUAACGAGAGACUUAUCCAUGAGGGUCCAUGCAGAUCAGUGUCUAAUUAACCAAUAAUUAAUAUAACUUAAAAAAUAUAGAGUUAAUAAUUUUUAUGGGUCAUGCUCAAUUGCAGAUGUUCGUACAAAAUUUCUUGCUAAUGUAUACUUGAGUAUGAUAAUAAGUUUUAAUCAUUAUUAAUAAUUCACUUGAUAAUAUUAAACAAAUUUUCAUAUCAAUUAAGUUACAAAAUUUCUGUGACAAAUUUCCACGUACUGGAACCAUGCAAAAGGGCUUUAUUCAAGCAAAGCUGCAUAGCCGUUGGCAAUUAAAAUUAUUUAUCAAUUAAGUUAAGUAGUAAGAAUUGGAUUGUGGAUUCCAUUAAUUAUUUCAAGGAAAAUUUUAUAGAUAAUGCCGUAAUGAAAUUUACGGCAUCAAUAUCACGAUAAAUAUAAAUAUUGUAAAUUACAAAUAGAAUUAGUAAAUGUAAAGUAAAACCAGUAAAUUCAUAAAAGAUUAUUAAUUAUUUAAAAAAUUAACAUUGUGUUAUGUUUGCAAGUUUUUGUUUUGUUUACUAGUUUUAUGUUAUGUUUGCAAGUUUUUGUUUUGUUUACUAGUAAUAGAUUAAUGGGUAAUUUUUAAUUGAGUCCUCAUUAGUUCUAGAAAAACAAUUCAGAGACCAGAAGUUUACUAAAUGAAUCAAUUAAAUUCUUUCAAGUACAAACUAAUGUCAUUCAAGUCCUUAACUUAAUUGGUCAGUUAAAAAUAUUAACAACGUCGAGGACAUUUUAGUAAAACAACAAUUGAGUCGUUUCUCAUUCUUUAUUUUUGACAGGUGGAAAUAGUUUAAAGUAAACUCACUUAACCUGAUUAAGUUAAGGAUCAGUUCUUUCAAAUGAAAAAAAAAAAAAAAAAAAACCUACAGAAACUGCCAUAUUCUUCGUGUGGGAGGAGAGAUCGAGAGAACGUGGGAUGGUGCAAAAAAUGUUGUAUAAAUCUACUGUGAUUUUGACCAAAGCUUUGGUAGCAUUGAUUGAGUUCAAGUACUGGAGAGAACCUGAGUUUAAAGGUUAGUAACUCUAUUUUUUUAGUGAUUUCUGCAAGCAUUUUCUGAUAAAAAAUUUUCCGUAUUGAGUGAUCGUUGUGAAAAAUUAAGUUUUUCAAGUCUAUUUUACAAAAUGACAAACUAUGUUUAAUUAUUGGUGGAUUCUUUUUUUUGUUCAAUGUUGUAUUUUGUUAAUUUGUUGUUUUUAAUUUGCUCUUAAUGUAAUUGUUAGACCAAAUACACCAUUAUUAUACCUGUAUUCAUUUCAACAAUUUGGUAUCGUUAUAUUAAUAAGAUUGAAUUCAUUGUAUUUGCUUCUUUGUUCAUGUAAAAUUGAAUUCUAUGUAUUCUUAUGAGUGAUAAUUUUUCUAUCUAUUAGACUAAAUUCACUAUAUUCACGACUUUCUUUCUUUUUGCUGGGCUAUUUUUUCUUUUUAGUUUAUAUUUUUUAUAUGUAUUAGAUUGAAUUUGCUUUUGUACGUUUUUUUAGCCGAAUUACAUGUAUAUUUUAUUUAGGUUGAGUUUUUUUGUUGUUUGCUAAAUAAAAUUCUAUUGGUUUAUCAUUUUUUGAUGCAAUACUUUUUGUUUAAAAUUAAUGCAGGUAGCCAUGUUACCUUUUUUUCGGUUAAAAUUAAUUGGGUGAUGUAUGCGAUAUAGGGAACCAGAGGAAUAUAAGAUUAUUAGGUUGUUUCUUGAAAUUCAAGAUGUCAUGGUUGAGCAUGGACACAGUGAAAUGGAUUUGAUUGAAAUUUCUGUUGUAUUGCCAUGGACUACAAGUAGGCAGAGGAAGCUAAUUUCAAACGAUAGUGAAUUGUAUUGGGUUUUCGAGGAGUUUUUUUUUUUUUUUUAUCAAUAGUUGUCCUGUCAUUGAGUUUGAGGUGCACAUUGGGUCAGGUGGUCAGUCAUUUCAUGAAAGUGUUGUAAUAGGACCUGAAAAUCCUGUCAAUAUAGGUGUUAGUGUUAUAAUAGUGAUAAGUUUGAAAAUCCUGUGGCUAAAAAGGGUAUGCCUAGAAUAAUUGGUACUUCUUUAUUUGCCUCAAAGUUCAACACUAUGAAAUCCACCAAGAAAAAGAAUUUAUCCACUUUAACCAGCAAUCUUCAAUCUUGCCUUCAGGAUAAGCAUGAGAUCUGUCAGCACAUUGCAAUGACACUGUGGUUGGUCUGACUUCUCCAACUUCCAAUUGCUUGAAUUCUGAUAAUGUCAUAAGAUUGAUGGCUUGCUCUCAAAUCACAAAGUGUCUUGCCACUGUAUUUAGUUCCUAUGGAACAAGGAAUUGUGAAACUUCCUGGAUCCUUCAACUUCUGAGGCAUUUUACUCUGAAGCAUAUGGCUGCAUUCUUGUGUUAGAGCAACUAUUUCGAAUUCUCCAAGCCUCCACUACUAGAAAAACAGGCUACUAUGACAGAAUUUUUGUGAUAGAUAUCAGAAAAUUAGUCAUUUAUCACAAAAAUAUAACAUACAUGUGAUAGAAUUUUCAUAUAUCAACAAGGCAUGAUAGAUUUGUGAUAGUUUCUUUAUCUGUCACUUGUACAUGAUAGCAUAUUAAUAUAGUAAUGAAACGGUGAGUUUAAGAUUGGCCAAUUUGGGCAUUGAACGACACCGUGUCUUGAAGCCUUUAAAAAAAAUUCUAAGUGUUGGACACUCCUUUGAACUUCACAUAGAAAACCCUAAUUUCUACAUCCAAACUGAAUCACACAAAAAUACACCAUCACACUUGCCGCCAAUAAAUUGUUGUUGUUCGUCUUUGUCGUCAUCUUCAUCCCCACUCCACAGCUUGCUGGCUAUUCCCAUUUCCCUUUUAUAGCUUGAACAACUGAUCUUCUUCAAGUUCGAGCCACUGUUACUGACUUCUUUCGGGAGAGGUAAGUGAUUAAUUCUUUUUUUUUUUUGAAGAGACAACAAUCACCAUAAAUUUCUCAAAAUCCCUAAAAUUAUGCCAAAAAAAGGAAAAAAUAAAGCCGUUCCAUGGCCUUAAAGGACUGACUUCGAGUUCGUGGACUAACGUGCCAACGACUCCGCUUUAUGGCCUUCGUGGAACGAUUCCGUGACACGCGAGUGGCAGCGUGCUAUUUACGUGGAGUCGGAUCGGAGAAGAUUGUACUACGAGGAGUUGGCGAUGUGAGAAAGACAGCGAGUUAGCUACUACGUCUUCGACUUAGGGUAAAAUUUUGGCAGAAUUUGAACUGAAAUUUAGUGGGUUUUGAGUGGUAAGACGAGGUUUUGAGAGAGGAAAAGGAGUGUUUGGCUGGCGAGAAAGUGAGAGAAAGUUUUUGAGUGUGGAGUGAUGGCUUCUCUGUUUUUACUUCUUUAUUGUUCUUUAUUGAGUAGAUGGUGACGAUACAAACUUUUAACAUUGUUUACUUAAUUAAUUGGAUAACAAUCUUACAUGACUAUUUUGAUUUAUCAGAUAAAUCAGUUAGAGAAGAAUGGAGAUGUUGUUGCUCAGGCACGAGCAAUUACAGCAAUCUAGACACUCUGCCCCGUCUUUCUUUCAAUGUUGUUGGCACACUGAAUAAUUUCCUUAGUGACAAGUUAACCAAAUUUAGAGGUAUAUGUGAUUUUGAUUUGACUUACUCUUAAUGAAAUACAAUAAGGAUUUUUUCUGUUGUUUCUAGGCCUUUUGGAGAGUUCGGAUUGAAGCAACGUUUGCCUUAGCUAAUACAACAUCUAAGGUAUUGUUAUUAUUCUCACCUUUAUUUAUUAAAUAUAUUGAGCACAUGGUAGGUCCACCAAAAUGUAUGCAAAAUCUAUUCACCAGAGGUAUUCGCAUAAAGUGAAUUUUUGUGAGAGACUAUUCUUCAACUGUGAAAACUACUUUGGUAGUUCUCAAACCCAUUACAAUUGAUUGGUGCUUGUGUUUUUCUAUUAGAAAGAUAUCUUCUGUAAAAUCUUUGUGAACUACAUUUUUGGAAAUGCAAAUGCUUUGUGUGGUGGUGAUUGUGCUUAUUUGCUUGGUCUUCUAGCAUUUCAGUGAAAUGAUUUAUUUUGACUUGUGCUUAUGACUAACUUGUUGACAGAGAAACUAGGCCAUUUAUGGAUGCACUGAUAUGAAUCCUAUAAUUUUUCUCUUAAUUGACAUGUUGAACUUUUUGGAAGAUAUUUUUUUUUUAUUUGAUUUGUCACAUAUUGUGCUUUAUUAGUUGGAAAUGUUUUGGUUUGUGGACCAUGUUGCACUUACCAGUUCUCAAUAUUGAUAUAUGAUAUAUACACACUAUUGUACUGGAAAUUGAUUGAGUUGGUUUGCUCCAUCUGGUGAAAUUUUAUAAAAGUCGAAGGUUUGAUGAGAAUAUUGGACUCCCCAAGUGAGAAUCUAUCUAAGUUUGAAAUUGUUCUGAUAUCGUUGCUGCAGCACUUUGUUAACGUUUUUGUUUUCUGCUGAUCAUUCCAGGCCAAAUGAUAUCCGUGAUUUUUCAGAGUAUUUGUUCUUGAGGUAAUGCCUUGAGGUAAGGUAUGUAAUGAGUUGUGUGAAGUGGGAUGUGAUAAUAAUUUUGCCCUCGCUUCAUGUGAUGAAAUCCCACAUAAUUUGCCCUUGCUUUAUGUGAUGAAAUCUUUGGGUGGUUUGUUUAUUUAGUGUUUUUCUAUUUCUUUUUAUAUGCUAAUUUUCAUAGUUCUAGAGCAAGUCUUUCUCUAGUCAUUUUGAAAUACUUCCACAUGCUGCUUCUUAAGCCAAGAUUGUCUUGCCCUAAUGAACAAGUUAAAUGGAUUUGCGUUGCUUGGAGUCUCAGUGUAAUAUAUGUGUUUUAGAACUUAGAUUGAUAAACAAAUUUGAACAAAUACAGUGGAAUAAGAAUAAAGAGAAGAUUAAAAAAAAAAGAGUAGAAAUAAAGAAAAGGAUGGUGAAACUUUAGGAGAAUAGGGGAAUCAAGAGAAGAGGAUAGAAUUUUGAUGGAUUUUAUUUAAUUAUGUAACGGAGGUUUUGUGUUGUUAGAUGUUGUGCGUUAAUUAAUUUGUAAUCUUGGAAAAAUACUUUAUCAUGAAUUGGGUUAAUUGUAAGUGGUCAAUACACUAAUAUAUAUUCUUCUAGCACUCAUCUAAAUGUAAUAUGUGUUUCAGGUGAUGUUGGUGGCUCUUGGGAAUUUACUAUCAGUGUUCUUUUUACGAAUUAAUUGUUUUUCUAAUGAUGGGGUAGUGAUUGAAUAUUGUAGAGAAUUUAUGAGUUAUUCUUACGGAUUUGAUUCACCAUGUAUUUUGAUGAUACUAUUUGUUGGAAGUUUCAAGUAAUUGAAAUUUUUAGUAUAUGGUGAUAUUUGGUAUUUGAUAGUUUUUAUGAAUUUGAAUGUAAUUUUUAUUUCAGUUAAUUCAAAUUUUAAAAUGUGGGUUUUGUUAUUUCUAUUUCAAAAUUCUGGAAUUUAAAUAAUAUUAAUUAGUAUUAUUAUAAUUUCAAAAUUAAAAAUAAUAAUUUUAUUUUUUUAAACCUUAAAUCUCAUGACAGAGAAUGUGAAUCAUUAAUAUAUGAAAGAUUUUGAAAAAGCCCACCAAAUUCAAUAUAAUUUAAAUUACCUGCUAAAAUUUCCAAUUAAUUCUCAAAAGCCUUGCAAAACGACGUCGCUUGGUUCGUGACAUAUGCGUGAUAGAUAUACACUGUCACAGAAACAUGUGAUAGAUAAAAUGUUGUCAUAGAUUUAUGAAAGGGGCUACAAUGACAGAUGGAAACUCUGUCAUAAGAGGGGUCGGAUGACAGAUAUUCUCUGUCAUGAUAGCCCAUUUUUCUAGUAGUGCUCAUUUUCCUUGCCAAUAUACAUUUCCAAAACUUUACAUAAUUUGGCAUUUGUUCCAAUGCUUCCACAAAAGGAAUGUUGAUAUGCAGUUGUUUCAAUACUUCCACCACCUGUCCCCAAGUUCCCACCACCACCUCACCCUUGCGUCUAUGCAUCUCCCCCUCCUCCUUACUACUACUAGAAAGCGGCCAUGAAUAGCUCAUGCUUUUAUGGUAAUCUCAUUUAUUUUUAAAACUGUACAUGUAAAGACUAGUAGUUCAGAAUUACAUUAAGCAUCAAAUUUAAGCACCGUGUUCUAUUUAAUUGCGUUCCUAUUGAUUAAGUGACAAAUAAAAGAGAUUGAUUAAUUUGUUCUUGUAGGAGAGGCGAAUGGUAUCCGAAUAAAGAAAGCAAGGGUUUGAUGGAAGGCUUACUUGGAGCAAGAUAGCGAUCAAUCGAGUUGCUGCGUUUUAUUCUCUUUUAUCUUUGUUUUUUAAGAAAAAUAAACUGCCACACGUAGAAACAGAAAAGUUCUUGUCAUUUUCAUGCAUAUGGAUUGUUGCUGUGUGUUUCAAUCAAUUCUCUGGCGUGUCAUUUGUAAUUUUCAACCUUCAUGCAUGCAAAUGCGAGACCUCUUUCGUAUAAUAAAAUUAGGGGAUUGUCACUUUCCCCCUACAGUAAUUAACAUAUAUUAUUUAUUCUCUUACUAUUUUUAUAAUGGCCAAAAACCCACUGACAACAUAAGUUUACAAUAUUACCUUUAUUUUUAACUACUCUUUUAUUUACAUUUAUUAUAAAUUAAAUAAAUUACAUGAAUAGAAACUAAAUAAAAAAAUUAAGUAUUAAAAAUAAGAAAUAUAUGUUGAUAUGAGGAAAAAAAUUAAUAAUAAAAUUUUUUUCUUGUAAUUAUUUAUUUUGUGAACAUUUUCUUAUAACAUUUUGUAAUAUUUUAAAAUUAAAUGUAAAAAGUAUAGGCAAAAUAUUUUAUUAUUUAUCUUAUAAUAAAUUGUUAUUUGUCAUUCAAAUUUUCUUAUAAUAAUUUUUUUUAUCAUUUUAUAAUAACUUUCUUAUAUAUUUAUUAUAAGAAAAUUUUCACAAAAUAAAUAAGUACAAGAAAAAAAAUUUAUUAUUAAUUUUUUUCUCAUAUCAAAACAUAUAAUAAUUUUUUUCUCAUAUCAAAACAUAUAUUUCUUGUUUUUAAUUCCUAAUUUUUUAUUUGAUUUCUAUUCAUGUGAUUUAUUUAAUUUGUAAUAAAUAUAAAUAAAAGAGUAAUUGAAAAUAAAGGUAAUGUUGUACACUUAUGCUAUCAGGGGAAGUUUUGGCCAUUAUAAAAAUAGUAUGGGAAAAAUAGUAUAUGUUGAUUACUAUAGGAGGGAAAUUAGCAAUCUCCCAAUAAAAUUAAUAUACUUCCCAAGACCGUCUUAUCUUGCGUUGACUUUUUACGUUCCUUUGGUGAUGAUUUUGACGUUUGAAAUUGAUGACUAUUGUUUUUGUAAACUCUGCAUGGAUUUUUCGUGCAACUACAGAGCGCAUUAACGAGAGACUUAUUCAUGAGGGUCCAUGCAGAUCAGUGUCUAAUUAACGAAUAAUUAAUAUAACUUAAAAAAUAUAUAGUUAACAAUUUUUAUGGGUCAUGCUCAAUUGCAGAUGUUCGUACAAAAUUUCUUGCUAAUGUAUACUUGAGUAUGAUAAUAAGUUUUAAUCAUUAUUAAUAAUUCACUUGAUAAUAUUAAACAAAUUUUCAUAUCAAUUAAGUUACAAAAUUUCUAUGACAAAUUUCCACGUACUGGAACCAUGCAAAAGGGCUUUAUUCAAACAAAGCUGCAUAGCCGUUGGCAAUUAAAAUAAUUUAUCAAUUAAGUUAAGUAGUAAGAAUUUUAUUGUGGAUUCGAUUAAUUAUUUCAAGGAAAAUUCUAUCGAUAAUGCCGUAACGAAAAUUACACAUAAAAUUAGUAAAUGUAAAGUAAAACCAGUAAAUUCAUAAAAAAUUAUUAAUUAUUUAAAAAAUUAAUAUUGUUUUUACAUAAUUUUAGUGCAAAAUAUUUUAUUUAGUUACAAAAAAAAUUUCUUUAAUUAAACAAAAAAAUUAUACAGAAAAAAAGUGGAAUACGUUUUAUUGAAUUGGUUACCAUAAAUUCUGUAAUUAUUCUAGGACAUUUGUAUACAUUUUUUUCUCAUUUUCUAUAAUGACAUCUAUUUAUUACACAUGUUAAUUAAGCGCAAUUAUUUAUCUUGAUGUGGAUCAAGUAAAAAUAAAAGAAAAGAUAUAUCAAUCAAAUUAGAUAUAAUUUUGAAUACUAUGUAUACUUUAUGUAGUUUCAAACUUUUUACUUGUAUUUGGAGACCAUUUAAGAUUGUUGUUGAAGAAGUGUAGAAAGAUGUAAAAUAACGUCAUCUUACAACAAUUAUAAUGAUAUCUAUUUAUUACACAUGUUAAUUAAGCACAAUUAUUUAUCUUGAUGUGGAUCAAGUAAAAAUAAAAGAAAAGAUAUAUCAAUAAAAUUAGAUCUAAUUUUGAAUAGGGAGAUUGCCAAUUUUCCCCCUACAGUAAUCAACAUAUACCAUUUUCCCCCCUACUGUUUUUAUAAUGGCCAAAAACCCCCCUGAUAGCAUAAGUGUAUAUUAUUACUCUUAUUUUCAACUACUCUUUUAUUUAUAUUUGUUAUAAAUUAAAUAAAUCACAUGAAUAGAAACCAAAUAAAAAAUUAAGCAUUAAAAACAAGAAAUAUAUGUUUUGAUAUGAGAAAAAAAUUAAUAAUAAUUUUUUUCUUGUACUUAUUUAUUUUGUGAAAAUUUUCUUAUAAUAAAUAUAUAAGAAAGUUAUUAUAAAACGAUAAAACCAAUUAUUAUAAGAAAAUUUGAAUGACAAAUAAAAAUUUAUUAUAAUAUAAAUAAUAAAAUAUUUUGUCUAUACUUUUUACAUUUAAUUUUAAAAUAUUACAAAAUGUUUAUUAUAAGAAAAUGUUCACAAAAUAAAUAAUUACAAGAAAAAAAUUUUAUUAUUAAUUUUUUUUGCUCAUAUCAAAUCAUAUAGUUCUUAUUUUUAAUACUUAAUUUUUUUAUUUAUUUUCUAUUCAUGUAAUUUAUUUAAUUUAUAAUAAAUAUAAAUAAAAGAGUAGUUAAAAAUAAGGGUAAUAUUGUAAACUUACACUGUCAGGGGGUUUUUGGCCAUUAGAAAACAACAAGGGGGUAAAUGGUAUAUGUUAAUUACUGUAGAGGGGAAAGUGACAAUCCCCCUUUUGAAUAUUAUGUAUACCUUAUGUAGUUUCAAACUUUUUACUUGUAUUUGGAGACCAUUUAAAGUUGUUGUUGAAGAAGUGUAGAAAGAUGAAAAAUAACUUCAUCUUACAACAACUGUGAAAGAUAUUAAAAUAAUAUUUUUUCAAAAUCCAAUUUUUAGCAUAAAUUUCAUCCUUAAUUAAACAUCACAUGUAUUAUAUAAAUGAAAAACUAACAUUAUUCAAUUUAAAUUAAAAAAUAAUAAAUAUAUGAGGUAAUAAAUAUUAUAACGAGUUUUUAUUUUAAAAUUGUAAACUUUUGUUUCUGACAGUAACUCUUAUAUUAAUUUACUUAUUUUGCCUUUUAUUCAUAAGUUUUAUGCAUAAUCUACAAACUUUAUGUUUUAUUUUGCAUUUAAUGUUGAUUUACCUUUUUUAUAUUAUAUUUAUAAGUUUUCAUUUGAUUUACCAGUAAUACAUCAAUUUAUCAAUUUUAUAGUAAUUUACUUAUUUUACCUUCUUUUUACAAUUCUUAUGUUUCAUUUUCAAAAUUUAUGUUUUAUUUUACAGUUAUUGAUGAUUUACUAGUUUUAUAUUAUGUUUGCAAGUUUUUGUUUUAUUUACUAGUAAUAAAUUAAUGGGUAAUUUUUAAUUUAGUCCUCAUGUUUUCGAGAAAAAAAUUCAGAGACUAGAAAUUUACUAAAUGAAUCAAUUAAAUUAUUUCAAGCACAAACUAAUGUCAAUCAAGUCCUUAACUUAAUUGCUUAGUUAAAAAUAUUAACAACAUUGAGGAUAUUUUAGUAAAACAACAAUUGAGCCCUUCCUCAUUCUUUAUUUUUGACAUGUGGCAAUAGUUUAAAGUAAAUUCAAUUAACCUAAUUAAGUUAAGGAUCAGUUCUUGCAAACGAAAAAAAAAAAAAAACCUACAAAAACUGCCAUAAUCUUCGUGUGAGAGGAGAGAUCGAGAGAAUGUGGGAUGGUGCCAAAAAUGUUGUAUAAAUCUACUAUGAUUUUGACCAAAGCUUUGUUAGCAUUUGUUGAGUUCAAGUACUGGAGAGAACCUAAUUAUAAAGGUCAGUAACUCUAUUUUUUUAGUGAUUUUUGCAAGCGUUUUUUGAUAAAAUUGUUUCCAUAUUUAGUGAUCGUUGUGAAAAAUUAGGUUUUUCAAGUCUAUUUUUCUAAAUGACAAACUAUGUUUAAUUACUGGUGGUUUUUUUUUUAUUGAAUGUGGUAUUUUGUUAAUACAUUGUUUUUAAUUUGCUCUUCAUGUAAUUAUUAGACCAAAUACGCCAUAAUUAUAUUUGUAUUCAUUUCAACCAAUUGGUAUUGUUAUAUUAAUAAGAUUGAAUUCAUUGUAUUUGCUUCUUUGUUCAUGCAAAAAUUGAAUUCUAUGUGUUCUUAUGAGUGGUAAUUUUUCUAUAUAUUAGAAUAAAUUCACAAUAGUUGCUAAUUUCUUUCUUUUUGCUGGGUUAUUUUUUCUUUUUAGUUUUUAUUUUUUAUAUGUAUUAGAUUGAAUUUGCUUUUGUACUUUUUUUAGCCGAAUUACAUGUAUAUUUCAUUUAGGUUAAGUUUUUUUGUUCUUUGCUAAAUAAAAUUGUAUUGGUUUAUCCUUUUUUGUUGCAAUACUUUUUGUUUUAAAUUGAUGCAAGUAGCCAUGUUACCUUUUGUUUUUCAGUUAAAAUUAAUGGGGUGGUGUAUGAGAUAGGAUAUAGAGAACCAGAGGAAUAUAAGAUUAUUAGGUUGUUUCAUGAAAUUCAAGAAUUCAUGGUUAAGCAUGGACAUAAUGAAAUGGAUAUGAUUGAAAUUUCUAUUGUAUUGCCAUGGACUACAAGUAGGCAGAAAAAGCUAAUUUCAAACGAUAGUGAAUUGUAUUGGGUUUUUUAGGAGUUUUUUUUUUUAUCAAUAGUUGUCAUGUCAUUGAGUUUGAGGUGCACACUGGGUCAGGUGGUCAGUCAUGUCAUGAAAAUGUUGUAAUAGGAUCUGAAAAUCUUAUCAAUAUAGCGGUUGGGUGGGUAGUGAUAAGUUUGAAAAAUUUAGUGAGGAUGGCUUUAUCGGAGGGCUCUCAUCUAAUGAAGAGAAUGGUCUCUCACAUAUGUAUAAAUCCAUUGUUGAUAAUGAGUAGAAACCAAAUCCAAAUAGUUUAAUUAGUCUAAAAGUAGGAAAUACAUUUGAAUCUGUUGCAUUAUUAAGAGAGGUUAUAAUGAAGUAUGCAAUCGAAGAGGGUUUUUAGUUGAAUAGGAUUAAAAAUGAUGGUGUUAGGUAUUAUGUCAAUCUAAAAUGCACUUGGAAACUUAAUGCUUCAUCGAUGGUUGACGGGAUAACUUUUAAAAUUAGGUAUAUUAAAGGGAAACAUGAUUGUCAGAUUAAAUAAGUUAACAAAGAUGCAACAGCACAUUGGAUGAUGUACAUGUCAUAAUGAGAGAGCUAAAAGAUAAACAUAGGAUUGAAUGUGAUAAACAAGAACUAUGCAGGGCAAAAGAAAUUGCACUAAAAAACCUAGGUCUUGACCAUGUUGCUUGCUAUGGAAAGCUUUUGAAAUAUGCUCACAUUCUAAUGAAAAUGAGUAGAGGUGCUUGUGUCAAGCUAAAGUUGAUAGGCCAUUGUCAAAUAGCCUAGUUUUUCAAAGGUUUUUUUAUCAUUUCCCGCACUUAAAGUGGGGUACCUAACUGGGUGUAGACCUUUCAUAAGAUUGGAUGGGUGUCACUUGAAUGGGCCAUAUAGGGGAGUAUUGUUAUCUGUUGUUGCAUUAGAUGCUGACAGUAGAAUUUUGCCACUGGCUUUUUGCAUAUGUGAGGCAGAAAACUAUGAUAGUUGGGGUUAUUUUUUUUAUCUUUUUUGUAUGAAUUCAUUGGGGCCGAUGAUCAUAGACCUGUGACUAUUAUUAGUUAUAGACAAAAAGGUCUUUUAUGGCGACUAAAAAAAUAUUAGCCUAAUGCUAGCACUAGAUAUUGUGCUAGGCAUAUCUUUGCCAAUUGGAAGUGCAGGUUUCCUGGUUUGAAUGUGAUGGGGUUAUUCUGGAAAGCUUGUAGGGCUGCAAAUCAAUAUGACUUUGAGAGGGCAAUGAGUUAAAUUAGGGCUAAAGACCAAAAUUGUUGUUGCUUAAAGAUUGUGGGAAUAUGAGAUAUUUCCUUGGAAACCAGCAUUGGCUCUAAGUUAUUGCUUAAAGAUGUCAAACAUGUACCAUAUAUUCUUCUUAAUUUGAUCUCUACAGGCAAGCUUGAUGAUGAUGGUUAUACCAACUAAUUUGGUGAAGGAGUAUGUAAGCUCACCAAAGGCUCCUUAGUGUUAGUUAAAGAGAGGAAAGUAAACACCCUCUAUGUGUGAUAACUCUAUGAAACGAGAGUUAUUAUAGAAAUUCUAAACUUAAAUCAAUAUUACUUACAGAGUAAAUGAUGUGUUUCUAUUGUAUUUUUGUUACAUUGUGUAUAAACAUUCAUUUUAGUUUAGUCUUAAUAAAUUUUGCUUAAUUUAGAAUAAUUCGUGCUUAAAUUGUGUGCAUAAUUAUAGGUGUCUAGAAGCUCAUAUCUCAUGGAAGGAGUGUUGAUGCAAUAGGCUUGUAAAAAUGAGGAAGAACAUGGCUACAAAAGAAUUGAAACAAAUCUGGAAUAAUGUAGUGUUGUAGCCGUUCUUGUAGCAACCAUUGCUGUAGCAAUCCUGGAACAACGAUAGAGAAAAUUUAGCACGAGAUACUUGUAGAAUCAAGAUCUGCAAUUUCUUAAUUUGACUUAUGCGCGCCCUGGGCUUCUGUUUACCCUAGUUUUCAGUUAUAAAAAGAGCACGCAUCAUAUGGUAAAAGGGGCGGUGAAUUAACAGCAAAGAAAUCAAGAGGAAAAGAAUGAAAAAUCAGAAUUCAAGGGAGAACAAGUCUGCACCAGUGAAGAUAUUGGCAUAACUAUUUGGAUUCAAUUUUCAUCGUUCUUUACUUAUCCCUUUUCUUACUCUUUGAUUGAACCGAUGGAUUUCAUCGCUGAUACUUUGUUGUUUGUUUUUCUUUUCCAAAGUAUGAACUAAAUUUGAUUGUAAUUGAGUGACAAACAAUCUCAAUGGGUUCUUGACUGUUCUUAUGAGUUAUUAAAAGAUUGCUGUAGCAUUUUGCUGUAAUAGCUUAUAUUAGAAUUAUUAUUUCGGUUGACCUCCCAUUUAAUGGUUCAAGUUAAGAGAGAGCCACAAAAUGGCAUGUCUUAGUGGAAAUUAUUAGAGUAAUACUUGAUCUUAAUUUAAGUUUUCUGGAUUGAGUUUAACUUGAGCCCCAAAAGAGCCACACUUGAGUUAAGAUUUGUGAAGAACUAGAUAUAGGGAUUCACCUUAUAGGGUAGAGGGGGUGUAUGUUCAUAAUGCCAUACCUUAGGUGAAAUGACAACUGGUCAUUGUUAGAGUGCUUAAGGGUAUGAGAAGUCCAACAAGCGACAGCUGAGGAUGCAAAAUAAUUUUGCACUGUGCUGUUGGAAUUGCUGUAAUAACUGGUGUUUAUUUGAACAGAACAGUCAGCCCAUGAAUAGAGUUUGAUCAUUCAGCUACCUCAUUCUCAUUAAAUUCUUCUUUACGCAAUUCAUCUAAUUUACUUUAUUACUGCAUUUAUUUUAUUAAAAUUGUUAAUUUCGGUAGUAAUAAACUUUAAUUAGAUUUCUCUUUAGAUAAAAGAAAUUUGCACUGUCGUGAUUGCUAUAGCAUUUCUAGUAAUAUCAGUUCAUGUGGAGACGAUCUUGAAUAUUCAUCAUUUUAUUACUUGUUGUGUACACUUGCACAUGAUAUCAAUAGCAAUUGAGUUAAAUUAAAUAACAAGUUUUUGGCGCCGUUGCCGGAGAUUGAUUGUUUAUUUUUGAAGUGUGAAGUCAAUCUUGACAAAUGCCAACUUGAUCUAAUUCAUUCUAUUUAUUGACAGAUCAUGACUUGCAUGGGCAAAGGCAGAUCUGUUGAAUUUCAAUUUGAUCCUGAGAUUGAAAGGACUGUAAGGAGAUUGCGAAGAGAGUGAAGAAAUUCAAAAACUGUUUCAAAAAUGGAUAACUUGCAAGAUGUGGGAAACUUGGAUCCUCACGGGCCACUACAACCUGUCAAUGUUCAAGAGGGGCAAAUGGGCACGUUAAUCAAAGACAACCAAGCAACAACAAUAUCAUUUACAUGGAAGACGAUAGAGAUAGGGUUAUCAGAGAUUAUGUUGUGUUAACUCCUUAAGUUGUACAUCUUGGAAUAGUCAGACCUGAAGUGGAAGCCGCCAACUUUGAACUUAAACCGGUAAUGUUUCAAAUGCUACAAAUAGUGGGUCAAUUUAAUGGACUGUCAUCUGAAGAUCCUCAUCUCCAUCUUAAGUUUUUUUUGGAAGUAAGUAAUGCUUUUAAAACUGCUGGAACAACGCAUAAUGCUUUGAGACUGAGGCUUUUUCCUUACUCCUUAAGAGAUCGAGCAAGAGCAUGGUUGAAUUCCUUACCAUCUGAUUCCAUCACUACAUGGAAUGACUUGGCUGACAAAUUCUUAAUGAAAUAUUUUCCACCAACCAAGAAUGAAAAAUUGCAAAAUGAGAUCACCUCUUUUCAUCAACUUGAAGAUGAGAGCUUGUUUGAGGCUUGGGAGAGAUUUAAAGAGUUUCUCAGAAGAUGUCCUCAUCAUGGCAUUCCCUGUUGCAUACAGCUAGAAACCUUUUACAAUGGGUUGAAUCCAAGUACAAGAUUGAUUGUCGAUGCUUCAGCAAAUGGAGCCCUAUUAUCCAAAUCUUACACUGAAGCUUAUGAAAUUUUGGAGAGAAUUCCUAACAAUAACUACCAGUGGCCAUCAACUGAAAAACUGUAGCAAGAGAAGCAGCAGGGGUACAUAACAUAGAUGCAAUUACAGCACUGUCAGCUCAAGUAACAUCAUUGACUAACAUGGUAAAAGCCAUGACUUCUACUUCUACAGUAGUAAAGCAAGUUGCUGAACUAUCUUGUGUGUAUUGUGGUGAGGAGCAUGUAUUUGACAAACUGUCUAGGAAAUCCAGCAUCAGUAAACUAUGUGGGAAACUUCAACCGACAGCCCUAGAACAACCCAUAUUCAAGUACUUACAACCCUGGAUGGAAUCAACACCCAAAUUUCUCAUGGAGCAAUCAAAAUCAGCAUGCUUCAGCACCUAGUGGACAGAACAAACAUGCUCAUCCACUUGGUUUUCAUCAGCAAAAUUAAGAGCAAAAACACACUAGCCAUGAUCAAAUCACCUCAUUGGAAACACUUUUUAAGGAAUGUAUCGUAAAGAAUGAAGCAAUUGUGCAAAAUCAAGCUGUAUCUCUGAGAAACCUGAAAAACCAAAUUGGACAGUUUGCCACAGCAAUGAGUAGUAGAUCUUAGGGAAGUUUACCCAGCAAAACAGAAGAUCCAAGAAGAGAGGUAAAAAACAUUGUAAAGUAAUCAACUUAAGAUAUGGGAAGAAUGUUGAUAUUGCUGUUGAUGUGACUAAAAAGAGGUUGGAACUUAACUCCUCACAAGAACCACCUCAAGAUGAAAUGAUGUUACAGCAACCCAGCCACUAAGAUACUGGCACUAGUGGUCAAGCUACAGCAACCUUGGAAGAAAAUCACCCAAUACCUAUUGAAGAAGAUGUUGCAACACCAGUGGUGACAAAUUACAAUAAAUCAAAUGAGCAGAUAUUGGUACCUCUUGAAGUUGUACAACAAUUUAGGCAUCCACCUCCUUUCCCACAGAGAUUCCAGAAACAAAAACAAGACUAAUAGUUUAGCAAAUUCCUGAAAGUGCUGAAACAGUUACACAUCAACAUACCUUUUGUGGAAGCAUUAGAGCAAAUGCCUAAUUAUGUGAAAUUUCUAAAAGAUAUUUUAACAAGAAAAAGAAGGUUGGGAGAAUUUGAAACUGUUGCUUUAACACAGGAAUGCAGUCACAUGUUUCAGAGUAAGAUUCCUAAAAAAUUAAAGGAUCCAGGAAGCUUCACAAUAUCAUGUUCAAUUGGAACUAAGUACAAUGGCAGAGCACUCUGUGACUUGGAGCCAGCAUUAAUCUAAUGUCAUUAUCUCUAUUUAAGCAAUUAGGAGUAGACUUUGAGUCUGAUAAAGAGGUACCAAUUAUAUUUGGAAGACCUUUCCUGGCAACCAGGAAGACUCUGAUAGAUGUUCAGAAAUGAGAGCUAACCAUGAGGGUGAAUGACCAACAAGUCACCUUCAAUGUAUUAGAAGCUAUGAAGAGUCCUGAUGAGGCAGAAGAUUAUAAUUUUUUUAGUGUUGUGGACCUUGUUGUGGCAGACAGAAUAAAUAGAUGCUGCAGUAAAAAGGUUAUCAAAGCUGCCACCUUUGAAAGCUUUGAAGAAGAAAAUGUUACAGCAAACCAGAUAGAUUGGAUGGUAGAAAGGCAAUCUAAAAGACAUAGCAGAUUUAUCGAACCUCUAAAUCUUUCAAACAGGGACAUAAAGACAACUUUACCAUCUAUUGAAUCAACUCCUACUCUUGAAUUAAAAUUGUUACCUUCACAUUUGAAAUAUUCAUAUCUUGGUGAGAACAAUACACUUCCGGUAAUCAUUUCAUAUUCUUUAGAUGCAGAUCAAGAAAGAAGUCUGGUAUAUGUGCUUAGGAAAUAAAGAAAAACAAUUGGAUGGACUAUGACAGACAUUAAACGGAUCAGCCCAUCCAUAUGCAUACAUAAAAUUCUGUUAGAAGACUGCUAUAGCAAUUCAGUAGAGCAACAGAGAAGGCUAAACCCCAUUAUGAAGGAAGUUGUAAAGAAAUAAAUCAUCAAAUGGCUGGAUGUUGGGAUCAUAUACCUGAUAUCAGACAGUUCAUGGGUGAGCCCAGUACAAUGUGUUCCAAAGAAAUAAGGAAUAACAGUAAUAGAAAAUGAAAAGAAUGAACUUAUUCCUACAAGAACAAUGACUGGAUGAAGGGUAUGUAUGGAUUAUAAGAAGCUCGACAAAGCCACACGGAAGGAUCACUUCUACUUUCAUUUAUAGAUCAAAUGUUAGACAGAUUUGCUGGAAAAUAAUAUUAUUGUUUCCUAAAUGGGUAUUUAGGUUACAACCAAAUUGUUAUACCCCCAGAAGAUCAGGAAAAGACUACAUUCACCUGUCCUUAUGGAACUUUUGCCUUUAAAAGAAUGCCCUUUGGUCUGUGUAAUGCUCCAGCAACUUUCCAGAGAUGUAUGAUGUCUAUUUUCUCAGAUAUGGUGGAGCAAACAUUGGAAGCCUUCAUGGAUGAUUUCUCAGUUUUUGGAGAAACAUACACUGAUUGUUUACAUAACUUGGAAGAAGCUCUUAAAAAAUGUGAGAUGACUAACUUAGUACUCAAUUGGGAAAAAUGCCACUUCAUGGUGCAAGAAGGCAUAAUGUUGGGUCAUAGAGUGUCCAAGAAUGGCAUAGAGGUAGAUAAAGCAAAAAUAGAAGUGAUAGAUAAACUGCCACCUCCCACUUCAGUCAAGGGUAUUAUAAGUUUUUUGGGACAUGUUGAAUUCUACAGAAGAUUCAUAAAAGACUUCUCCAAAGUAGCUAAACCAUUAUGCUCACUACUAGAACAUGACAAGCCUUUUCAUUUUGAUAAAGACUGUCUUUAAGCUUUUAAAGAAUUGAAGAAAAUUUUGAUCAUUGCACCAAUGGUUAUAACACUAGAUUUGACUCUAUCUUUUGAGCUGAUGUGUGAUGCCAGUGACCACUCUGUUGGGGCAGUGCUGGGGCAGAGAAAGAAUAAGAUUUUCCACUCUAUAUACUAUGCCAGUAAAACUCUUGUUCAAGCUCAGAUUAAUUACACCACUACAGAAAAAGAGCUGCUAGUAGUAGUAUUUGAUUUCAAUAAGUUUAAAGCUUACUUGGUGGGUACUAAAGUGACAAUCUACACAGAUCAUGCAGCCAUCAAGCACUUAAUCUCAAAGAGAGAUGCCAAACCAAGAUUAAUAAGAUGGGUAUUAUUGCUUCAAGAGUUUGAUUUGGAAAUUAAGGAUAGAAAGGGGACUGAAAAUCAAGUAGCAAACCAUCUAUCGAGGCUGAAAGCAAAUACGAGCACAUUGACUAAACAAGACAUCACUGAAACAUUUCCUGAUGAACAACUGUUAGUGCUAUAACAUGCACAGAUGCUACAGCAACCGAGAUCUCCAUGGUAUGGAGAUUUUGCUAACUACUUAGUAAGUGGAUUGCUACCACCUGGGUUGAAUUUUCAGUAGAAAAAGAAAUUUCAUUUUCAGUAGAAAAAGAAAUUUCAUUUUCAGUAGAAAAAAAAUUUUCAUUUUCAGUAGAAAAAAAAUUUUCAUUUUCAGUAGAAAAAGAAAUUUUCAUUUUCAGUAGAAAAAGAAAUUUUUUCAUGAUGUUAAAAGCUACCAGUGGGAUGAUCCAUACUUGUAUAAGUUAUGCUUAGAUCAGGUAAUCCGAAGAUGUGUUUCAGAGGAAGCAAUUUCACAUAUACUGCAAUAUGGCCAUGCUGCAGCAUAUGAAGGACAUUUUGGUGGACAAAGAACAACUGCUAAAGUUCUACAAUCAGGUUAUUACUGGCUUUCUAUUUUUAAGGAUACUUAUGAGUUUGCUAAACGUUGUGACAGAUGCCAAAAGACAGGAAACAUAACUCAAAGACAUGAAAUGUCAUUAACAAACAUUCUGGAAGUGGAGAUUUUUUAUGUAUAGGGAAUAGACUUCAUGGGCCUUUUCCCACCAUCCUUUGAGAAUUUUUAUAUCCUGGUUGCUGUGGAUUAUGUCUCCAAGUGGGUAGAAGCUGCAGCAUUACCUAUCAACGAUGCAAGAGCAAUAGUGAAUUUUCUUCAGAAAAAUAUUUUUUCCAGGUUUGGCACUCCACGAGCAAUUAUUAGUGAUGAGGGUACUCAUUUCUGCAACAAAGCAUUUGCUGCAGCAAUGGCCAAAUAUAGAGUCAAACACAAAAUUGCGACAGCAUAUCACCCACAAUCCAAUGGCCAGGCAAAAGUAUCUAAUAGGGAAAUUAAGAAGAUUCUAGAAAAGGUAGUGAAUCCUUCAAGAAAGGAUUGGUCAUUGCGAUUACAUAAAUCUUUAUAGGCUUUCAGAACAGCAUAGAAGACACCACUUGGCAUGUCUCCCUACCAAAUUGUGUAUGGAGCACAAAGCAUAUUGGGCACUGAAGCAAUUAAAUUAGGAUAUACAUGCUGCAACAGAGCAGAGGAAACUUCAACUAUGUGAACUUGAUGAAUUACGGUUAUUCUCAUAUGAAAAUGCAAGAAUCUAUAAGGAGAGAACAAAACAAUGGCAUGACAAGCACAUCCAAUAAAGAAAAUUAAUCCCUGGUCAACUAGUUCUGCUCCAUAAUACUAGGUUAAGACUAUUUCCAGGAAAGCUGAAAUCUAGAUGGUCUGGACUUUUCAAGCUGCUCAGAAUUUACCCUCAUGGGGCUGUUGAACUCUUAGAUGGAAAGACAGGCCAAGAAUUCAAAGUUAAUGGGCACAGAGUUAAGCAUUACAUGCAUUCAGUUACAGAUUGUUCAAAUGAGGUCGUACUCCUUAGUAAACCGGCAUUGUGAGCAUUCAAGAAAGGUCACGUUGAAGGACCUUAAAUCAAACAUUGAAUGGGAGGCAACCCAUUGCUGAGGCAGUCAUUUCAAAUGAAGUGGAUCCUCCAUGUUUUUGUUGUAGUAUUUAUUUAUUUAUUAUUUUUCUUAGUUAGGAUUGUUUAAUUUUUAUCUUUUAUUGUUUUAUUUUAAAAAAAAACGAAACAUGCCAAGUCACGCAAUUCUUAGAGUUGGAUUCAAUACUGACAAUUGGUGUUGUAAUAUUAACAGGUUACAAAGGCAAGUUACUUGACAGCAACCAUCUGAGGAGAUUGUUGUGCAGAUUGCUAGAGCAUACAUUUUGUUGCUGCAACAACCAAUUUUAUUAUUACAGUAACUUAACUACGGAGCCUCACAUUUUACCGUUGGAGAUAACAUGUGACAGCUAGUUGGGUGAACUCAGAUAAAGAUUGGGGAAGAAUGCAUAAUCUCUUAAAUAACUGCAUCAAUAUCUCUUUCCUAUUUUUAUGGGAUAUGCUUAAUAAAUUCAAAAAUUCUUCCCUAAUUUAUCUCUUUUACCAAAUUUAUUUUAUUUAUUUUGCACCUAUAUAAGAGUUUCAUUGUGCAUGUUGACCUCUAACACUAUUUUCUUUUCCCUUCACAGUCACAACCCCUCUAUUUUAUAACCUCUGCUCUUCGUUUCACUCUUGAACAUAUUACCACAGUUAUCCUACUACUGCAGUAAUGCCAAGGUAUAAAAGGACAGCCAGCCGACUAAACGAUCUAUCACAAUUUUAAAGUUACCAUGCGGAAGAGAAGUAUGAAGAAUUUAUUGAACCGCGCAAGAUUUUGGAAGAAAAAGGGCUUCAGUUCCCACCUCAACCCUCUAGAAUUGUGCAAUCAUUAUACGAUGCUGCAGCAAAGCACGGGUGGCUGGAGUUUUGUAACCACCCCCGAGAUCCUGUGUUGGAGCUAUUUGCAGCACUUGGAGGACCACCUACACCAAUUUGUUGUAUAUAUAAAAGUACCCAUAACAAUUUCCCUGAUUCACUGCUACAACAGUACAAUUUUGGUACCUCCAUUAUAGAAGUCAGUGAAGAUGUUGCUGACACAGAUAAACAUGAGGAAGAAACAGCAGCAGAACAGCAAGCAGAUGCUGAUAUAGAUGCUGAUAACCAGUCAGACCAGCAUGAAGAAUAAUGUGUCCAGUCUACAAUUGAUAGUUCCCCGACAGAGGAGGAGGAAAAGCAUGAGAAAGAACUCGAAGAACCCUCAGCCAGGACCUUUUCCAAGUCCAGGAAAAAGCACAUCAUACGAGAAAAGGAAGAUGAACCUGCAGAGGAGCCUCCCAUUCCAUUCCUCUCUCGAAAGGGCAAAGAGAAAGUAAUUACCCCUCCUGCAUCUGACGAUGAAGCCGAGCACAUUGAUGCAGAAUUGGAAGUUGCAGCAGCCAGGGUUACUCGUACACCCAUCGAGACAAAGCAUAUGCUUGAUAUCAUUGCCGCAAUCAUGACUGAGGGGUAUACAGUCGAAGACCCAACUCCAGCUCCCUCACGGCAAACCCCCAGCAAACCUAUUCUCGCUAGUCCUAAAGGACCCAGCAAAAGAAAGGGGGGCACUUCUGGAGGCAUUGCUGCAGUAGACACACCAGAGCCAAAGAGGACCAUAUCUGUUUUGUCCCAGCCAGCUGCACCCACUGCAACUCCUCCUACUAGCCCAUCGCAAAGAAAGAAAAAGUCAUUGCCAACUACCUCACCGCAAGAAUCUCCUAAAGACCGACUGCGGAGCGCCUCCAAAAAGCGGUGAAUUGGUUAUAAUUUAUUGCAGCAGUAUUUCUAGCACCAGGGGAGUACCACUACCCGCUAGUUUAUUUUACUUCUUCAUGCAACAACUUUUUCUUCAUUUAGUUUUAAUUUUCUGAUUUAUUUUGCAUGUCUUUUUAUUUAGUAUAUGCAUAUCUGGUUUAUAUGGUUUUGUUUUGUGUGCCUGUGAAGACACAACACCUUUCAAGUUUUGGGGGGUUGUGCUAUCAUAUAGUGUGUUAUUGAGUGCAUUGCAUGUGUUGUGGUGUUGUUUGUGAAGUGAAGCUCUGUAUCUACUGCUUAUGUAUGGAUUUGAAAGCCUAAUGAAGAUAAAUUGAGUGUUACUCAGUAUGUAUGAGAAUGCCCAGUAGGGAUAGUCAUAGAUGGAGAUUGAAAUUAUGUCCCGACACUUAGACUUUGGUUGAAAUUCAUGAGACUGCUGCAGCAAAAUCAAGAAAACUGCAAAGAGUAGAAAAUAUAUCAAGUUUAGGGGAAAUGUGUGUGUUGAGUUGUGCUUAUUAAAGUCUGUUCCAAUGGCUUAAAUGGUUGAGUAACUACGGCUGAGUAUGUACCCCAUAUGCAGACUUGAGUUAAAAAGCAACAAGAGUUAUGAGCAUUGUUGUAGCAAUUGAAAAAAAAAAGAAAAAAAAAAGAAGUCCUCUGUCUGAGAAAUUGAGUAGCCAUGUCUGUUAAUGAGCCCCAUGUUCAGCCUUGAGUUAAAGAUAUCUUUAGAUAAGACUAUGUUAUGACCAUUGCUAUAGCAACUCUGACAUGUACGUUGAGUAAGUAAUUGGGUGUCAUCAUUACAAGUGAUAGGCAUUCACAUGAAAGUUCAAUGUUGUAUUGAAGGGAGUGAAUAUAUAGAUAUAUAUAUAUAUAUAUAUAUUGUUUGUUGAAGCACAAUUUAUGUUUAUUUGUGAAUUAUGCUCUCCCAUAUAUGAAUAUAUUUGUGUUCUACCUUUGAAUUACAUGCAAUAUCUCUGUAAUGUUGUAGCAUCUCUGGACUUUGAUCAAAGUGGCACACACAUUUUGGACAGAAUGCAGCCUAAGUCUAGAACUGAACUGUUAUGGCUAUUUUGCAUGAUUAAGAGUGUGAUCUGAGGGUGGAAGAAUCCUUGCAACUUUGAUGAUAAAGCUGAGCUAUUUGUUGCAUGAUUGAGUGAUUGAAGUGUUAGCAUUGUUGUCAUUACUUAAAAACAAGUAAUGGUUUAAGUUUGGGGGUGUGAUAACUCUAUGAAAUGAGCGUUAUUAUGGUAAUGCUAGAAUUAAAUCAAUAUUUACUUAGAGAGUAAAUAAUGUGUUUCUAUUAUAUUUUUCUAUUGUAUUUAAUAAAUUUUACUUAGUUUAGAAUAAUUUGUGCUUAAAUUGUGUGCAUAAUUGUAGGUGUCCAGAAGCUCAUAUCUCAUGGAAGGAGUGCUGAUGCAAUAGGCUUGUAAAAAUGAGGAAGAACAUGGCUACAAAAGAAUUGAAACAAAUCUGGAACAAUGUAGUGUUGUAGCCGUUGCUGUAGCAACCAUUACUGUAGCAAUCCUGGAACAACGACAGAGAAAAUUUAGCGCGGGAUACUUGUAGAAUCGAGAUCUGCAGUUUUCUAAUCUGACUUAUGCGCGUCUUAGGCUUUUGUUUACCCUAAUUUUCAGUUAUAAAAAGAGCACGCAUCAUAUGGUAAAGGGGGCGGUGAAUUAACAUCGAAUAAAUAAAUCAAGAGGAAAAGAAGGAAAAAUCAGAAUUCAAGGGAGAGCAAGUUUGCACUAGUGAAGAGAUCGGCAGAACUAUUUGGAUUCAAUUUUCAUCAUUCUUUACUUGUCCCCUUUCUUACUCUUUGAUUGAACCGAUGUAUUUCAUGGCUGAUACUUUGUUGUUUGUUUUUCUUUUCCAAAGUAUGAACUAAAUUUGAUUGUAGUUGAGUGACAAAUAAUCGCAAUGGGUUUUUGACUAUUCUUAUGAGUUGCUGAAAAAUUGAUGUAGCAUUUUGCUCUAAUAGCUUAUAUUACAAUCAUUAUUUCGGUUGACUUCUCAUUUAAUGGUUAAAGUUAAAAGAAAGCCGUAAAAGGGCCUGUAUUAGUGGAAAUUAUUAGAGUAAUACUUGAUCUUAAUUUAAGUUUCCUAAAUUGAGUUUAACGUGAGUGCCAAAAUAGCCACACUUAAGUUAAGAUUUGUGAAGAACUAGAUAUAUGGAUUCAUCUUGUAGGGUAGAGGGGGUGUAUGUUCAUAAUGUCAUACCUUAGGUGAAAUAACAACUGGUCAUUGUUAGGGUGCUUAAGGGUAUGAGAAGUCCAACAAGAGACAGUUGAGGAUGCAAAAUAAUUAUGCCCAUGAAGAGAGUUUGAUCAUUCAGCUACCUCAUUCUCUUUAAAUUCUUCUUUACGCAAUUCAUCUAAUUUACUUUAUUACUGCAUUUAUUUUAUUAAAAUUGUUAAUUUCAGUAGUAAUCAACUUUAAUUAGAUUUCUCUUUAGAUAAAAGAAGUUUGCACUGUCGUGAUUGCUGUAGCAUUUCUAGUAACAUCAAUCCAUGUGGAGACGAUCUUGAAUAUUCAUCACUUUAUUACUUGUUGUGUACAUUUGCAUAUGACAUCAAUAACAAUUGAGUUAAAUUAACCAACAAUGUGUUAGAAGCCAAGAUUAAGAAAGAAGAUGUGAAUGUGGCUAUAAAAGAUUCUGACAUUGAGACAUGGUAUAAAAAGUUUGGUCACAUUGGUGAAAAAGGGUUAGAAACUCUUGCCAGAAAAAGAUUUCUACCCAGCUUCGUAGAUAUGUCCCUCAAGACUUUUGCUCAUUCCUUAGCUGGAAAGACACACAGAGUAGCUUUUAAAAGGUUUUCUCCAUCUAGAAAGUCGCAAAUCCUUGAUUUGAUUCACACUGAUUUUUGCAUGAUGUAAAGUAGAUCAAUUGGAGGUGCACUUUAUUUUGUUACUUUUAUUGAUGACUAUUCUACAAAGGUGUGGGCUUUUGCUUUGAAAUCUAAAGAUCAAGUGCUUGAUAUAUUUAAGUUCUUCCAUACUUAUUUUGAGAGAGAGACGAGAAGAAAAUUAAAAUGCGUCAGGGUAGAUAAUGGUGGUGAGUAUAAAAGGCCAUUUGACCAAUAUUGCAGAUCCCAUAGAAUUAGACUUGAGAAGACCGUACUAAAACCCCACUGUAGAAUGGUAUUGCAGAAAUGAUGAACAGAACAAUUGAAAAGAGAGUCAGGUGUAUGCCUUCUGAUGCCAAGCUUCAUAAAUCCUUCUGGGCAGAGACUAUGCGUUCUGCAGUUGACUGGAUUAAAUUUUUCUCCUUCAGCUCCAUUGAUGGUGAUGUACCUGAGAUAGUUUGGACUGAAAUAUAUGUUUAUUACAAACACUUGAGAGUGUUUGGUUACAGAAUAUAUGUUCACAUUCAUAAGGAUGAAAGAUCGAAGCUUGAUGACAAAGCUAAAAAAUGCAUUUUCUUAGGCUAUGGGCAUAAAGAAUUUGGGUACAGAUUAUGGGAUCCAGUGCCAAGAAAAUUGAUCAGAAGUAAACAUGUUGUGUUCCUCGAAGAUCAAAUAGUUAGUGAUGCAGAGAAUAGUGAUGAGUCUCAGUCAUCUCUAAAGAUUCCUAUUAUUCUAACUUUAGUUUCUUCAUCUAUAGUUCAUAAUGAUCAUGGAGGAGCUGGAGAGGAUAGUAAUGAUGGUCCAGCAGAACUAGUUGACCAAGCACCUCCAGAACCACCUGCACCAUCAAUGGAGCCUGAAUUGAGAAGAUUUACUAGAGAACGGUGACCUUCCACCAGAUAUCCUCCACAUGAGUAUAUGAUGCUUACAGAUGAAGGGGAGCCAUAAUGUUUUGAAGAAGCCAUGUUUCAAAUAACUCACAAUAACGAUACAAGGCUAGACUGGUUGAUGGGGUACCUAGCAACUUCUUGUUGUGUGGGCUGAUCAGACUUUACUUUCUUAGUUUCUGAUUCUUCUUAUGCUUGCAUUGUUACAGCAUAUACGGAGGGUUGUGCCUUUUUACGCUUGUUGGAUGCCCUAGGAGUUCUGCUAGGAGAUUUGAUGGGAGGUUGUUGAGUAAUGCUUACUGUAGUAGUUUCCCCAGAUGUGAUUUUAGCAAUAAUAUCAGGGAAACUCUUAUUUGCUUCAUCAGUUUUUGUAGCCCUGGUAUCAGCUGCUUUAAUUUCUGCAUCAAUAUCAUCUUGAUCAUUGUCUGAUUCUUCAUCAGUCAGAACUUUUUGUUUACCUUUACUUAGAAACACUGUAAUCGGGGGUUCAUCAUCCUGCCCAUCCUAUGUCUCAUCUUCGUAAACUUUUAUGAUGUGCUUCUUUUUACGUUUAGGAGGUACUACUGGAGGUGCCUCAUCCUUCUACGUUGCUGAUUCGUCUUCUGUACUAUAUUCCUCCUCUAUUUCUUCUUAUUAUUUUUCCUUCUUCUCUUUCUCUUCCUCUGCUGGUAGUGGGUCUUUUUCAGAUUCUAAUUCUUCUUCACUCUCUGCUGCUGCCUCAACUACUGGAGCAUCCCUUGUUAAUGUUUGGAAAUUAAACGGCUACAACAAGGAGUCAUGGAAAUCUUUGCUCUUUUUCUUCAUGUAGACUUCAAACUAAUGUCUAUGGUUUUCAAGGUGCAUUAAAUAAUUCCUGAAUCUUUGAUUUUGUUCUUUCCAUGCGUGUACACAUUCAUUAAUGGUGUCACUUAAUUCUUGCAGCUUCAUCUCAAUGCCAGUAACGUUCAUUGCUCUGGUCACAACAACAUACUCUGGUGUUGCUGUAGUAGUAGUUUCCCUAGCAAUUCUUUCAACAAUUCGAUCAGUAAGAGCUCAUUCAUUCUUAAUGCUUUCAUCUUUUGCUGAUAUUUUCACCCGAAAUACCAGACAAAUCCUAGUAAUGAGUGAGCGAAACAACAAAGCAGCAAUCUUGUGAUUUUUCAUGGCACACUCUAAUCUCCCUCUCUAUAAUUUUCCUCACAUCAAUUGGUAUACCCUUGAAAAUGGCAUAUAAUAGGUAAGAUUUUCAUGAGAUACGGUGGUGGUGUAUGUGGUGGGUAUCAAUCGAGAUUUUAGAAAUUUUACCCACACUUUGGCUACUGGUUUCAAAUCAAUUCUAUUCACUCCUCUGCCUUCCUCAUUCAACCAUGAACUACCCUCCACCAUAAGGAUUUCAAGCACAUCACUUCACUCCUUAGCAAUCAUAUUCUCAAUCAUUUUUGAAUACUCACAAUCAAUAUCAUAUGGUAAAUUAUAAAAAAGCAUUGAUUACCCUCGGAUCUAAAGGGACUUGAACAUUCCUUACCACUAUUGUGCAUUGGUCUUGCCGCAACAUGUUGGAGUAAAAUUCCUUAACGAUUGGGAGCACAAGGUCUCGUGGGUGAGUGUAAAAAUCUAGCCAUCUUUUCUUUGCUACAGCAACAUAGAUUGUGUUGAUUGUUCCUGAUGGUUGUUGAGGGAAUUGAAAAUCAUUUUCCUCUAAAAUCUUCUUAGGCUCUAUAAAUUCUUCAAAUUAUCCUCGGCUUUGUCACUAUGGAAGCGUGAGGGGUCCUUUAGUCGAGCAGUUGUCUUCUUGUACCACGUUAUUGCUAGAGCAACAAAACUGAGUUGUUGGGUACCUAAAAAAGAAAAAACUCAUGAAAGUGACUCUAAAGUAUGUGGAGAACUGUGGACUAGAAGAGAAAAAAUUUGGAUAAGAAUGAAAAGAAGCAUUGUGAAACCCUAAUUUAUAGGUCACGGUAAAAUAGAAAAAAAUAAUUAAUGAGGUAAAUUUAGAAAUUGUAUUUGAAAUUUAAAAUAAAUCCACAUUUACGUUCGGGAAUUUAGGGAUUAUGUAAUCCAUUCUUAUUUUUUAUCUUGAUUUCUUGAGCCAUCUAUCAAAAAUUUACUCCCAACGGUGCAAAAAUACUUUCCAUAGUUAUGUCACUAUAACGGUAAGAAUCAUUGCUACAACAAGUAAUAUAGUGCUGCAGCAACUGCGAUAAAGUCCCUAGUUUGAUGAGAACCAUUGUUCAACUGUCAUAUAAAGUGUAAUGCUGCAACAUCUUGUGUCAGUGUUUUAUCCAAAAAAAAUUCAUUAUUAUUUAUACAUGCCGUAAUAAAAUAAUAGACACAAAUAAAUUAGAUAAAAACUUCAAAAUAUCAACAACCGUAAAGAAAAACAUGAAAACUAAAUUUAAUGUUAAAGGAAAAAUUGAAAUAACUCCCUUAAUCAUUGGGUUGCCUCCCAAUUAGCACUUUAUUUAAGGUCUUUCAGUCUGACCCCCCUUAAUUGCUCAAACUGGAUUUAUGAGGCACAAAUCCUCCCUUGAAUGGUGAAAAUCAUCAUUAAUAUAGUGUUUCACCCGCUGCCCAUUUACUAUAAAUUCAAUGCUAGUUCUCUCAUCUUUGAGGUCCACAGCCCCAUGAGGAUGGAUUUUGAUAAGUCCAAAAGGCCCUGACCAUCUAGACUUUAACUUUCCUAAAAAAAAGCUUUGAUCUAGAGUUGUAGAGCAAAACUCAUUGACCUAGAAUUAAAUCCCUUUGCUGGAUGCGUUUAUCAUGCCAUUGUUUUGUUUUGUCUUUGCAAAUCCUUGCGUUAUCAUAAAAGAACUAUCUUAAUCUUUAAACUCACAAAGUUAAAACUUCCUAUGCUCUGCUGCAACAUGCAUGUCCAUGUUCAGUUGUUUUAGCGCCCAAAAUGCUUUAUGCUCUAGCUCCAGUGGCAAAUAGAAAGCUUUGCCAUAUAUAAUUUUAUAUGGUGACAUGCCAAGUAGUAUUUUGUAAGCUGUGCGAUAUGCCUGUAAGGAAUCAUGUAAUCUAAAAGACCAAUAUUUUCUAGUAGGGUUCACCACUUUUUCUAAAAUCCUUUUUAUUUCCUUGUUGGACACUUCUGGCUGACCAUUAGAUUGAGGGUGAUAUAUUGUAGCAACCUUGUGCUUAAUUCUAUAUUUGGCCAAUGCUGCAGCAAAUAUUCUGUUGCAAAAAUGAGUGCUUUCAUCACUGAUGAUGGCUCUAAGAGUCCCAAAUCUUGUGAAAAUGUUCUUUUAAAUGAAUCUCACCAUGGCUUUGGCAUCAUUUGUUGGUAGUGUUACAACUUCCGCCCAUUUGAACACAUAGUUUAUAGCAACUAAAAUGUAUAAAUCCCCAAAAGAGGGUGGGAAUGGACCCAUGAAAUCCAUCCCCCCAACAUCAAAUAGCUCAACUUCUAAAAUGUUGGUUAAUGGCACUUCAUGUUUUUUAGAGAUGUUCCUUGUUAUUUGGCACCUGUCACAACAUUUAACAAACUUAUAAGCAUCUUUAAAAAUAGAGGGCCAGUAAUAACCUGAUUGUAUAAUUUUUUUACUGCUGGUCUGUGGCCUCCAAAAUGGCCUCCAUAUGCUACAGCAUGACAUGAUUGCAGUAUGUUUGAAAUUUCUUCAUCAGAUACAUAUCUUCUAAUCAUAUAGCCUGAGCAUAUCUUGUACAAAUAAGGUUCAUCCAACUGAUAACUUCUAACAUCAUUAAGAAAUCUCUUCUUCUAUUGGUAACUUAGAUUAAGUGGUAACAAUCAGCUCACCAAGUAAUUAGCAAAAUCUACAUACCAUGGAAGCCCAGAUUAUUGUAGCAUAUGUGUAUGCUUUAGCAUUAACAAUUGCUCAUUAAGAAAUGUCUCUGUGAUCUCUUGCUUGAUUAGAGUGCUUUCAUCUGCUUCCAGCCUUGAAAGAUGAAAUUCUCCUUGGUUCUCAGUCCCUAUUCUUUGUUUAAUCUCGAAGUCAAAUUCUUGUAGCAAAAGGAUCCACCUUAUCAACCUUGGUUUGGCAUCUUUUUUUUAAAAUCAAAUACUUUAUGGCUAAGUAAUCUGUGUAAACAGUCACUUUGGUGCCAACCAAAUAAGCUCUAAAUUUGUCAAAUACAAAGACAAUUGCUAGUAACUCAUUUUUCAAUGGUAGUGUAAUUAAUCUGAGCAUCAGCUAAAGUUUUGUUAGCAUUAUAAAUAGAGUGAAAAAUUUUGUUCUUUCUUUGCCCUAACACUGCUCCAACAGAGUGGUCGCUGGCAUCAGAUAUCAACUUAAAAGGUAAGUUCCAAUCUGGUGUUAUAACAAUUGGUGCUGUAGCAAAAGCUUUCUUCAAUUCUAUAAAAGUCUUUAAACAAAGCUUACCAAAAUAGAAAGGCCUAUCAUGCUCCAGCAGCUAGCAUAAGAGUUUUGAUAAUUUAGAAAAUCCUUAAUGAAUGUUAUAUAGAAUUAUGCAUGUCCCAAGAAAUUCCUAAUGCCUUUAACUGAAGUAGGUGGUGGGAGUUUACUAUUUUGACCUUCUCCACUUAUAUUCCUUUUCUAGAGACUUUAUGGCUUAGGAUUAUCCCUUCUUGUACCAUAAAAUGACACGUUUCCUAAUUCAACACUGAAUUUAUCUCCUCACAUAUUUUAAGCAUAUUUUCUAGAUUAUGUAAACAAUCAUCAUAGAUCUCCCCAAAAAUCGAAAAGUCAUCCGUGAAUACCUCAAGCGUUUGCUCUACCAUAUUUCAAAAAAUAGACAUCAUACACCUCUGGAAUGUUGCUAAAGCAUUGCACAAACUAAAGGACAUCCUUCUUAAAUCCUUCUGAAAUAAGCAAAAGUUUCAUAAAGACAAGUGAAUAUUGUCUUCUCCUUAUCCUCUAGUGCUAUAGCAAUAUGGUUGUAGCCAGAAUACUCAUCCAAGAAACAGCAGUACUUUUUUCCAACAAGUAUGUCUAGCAUCUAAUCUAUGAAAGGCAACGGGAAGUGAUCAUUCCUUGUGGCGUUGUUUAGCUUCCUAUAGUUCAUGCAAACUCUUCAUACAGUUACUGUUUUGUGGGAAUAAGCUCAUUCUUCUCAUUUGUUGCAAUAGUCACUCCACCUUUCUUUGGAUCACAUUGUACUGGACUCACUCAGGAGCUGUCGGAUAUUGGGUAGAUGAUUCCAGCAUCAAGUCAUUUGAUAAUCUCUUUCUUGGUCAAUUUGGGUGAGUACUUGCUAGCAAUCCUCUAGCAAUUAAUUUGAAUUCUUAUAGCUAUUUGACAACUAUUAAUUUAUGUUUUUAUAUUUUCAUAUUAAAUAUAUUUAUUUAUUUAUUUUGAUAAAUUUUUAAAAAAUCAUUACUUAAAUUUAAUUAAUGAAAUAUUUUAAAAAAAUAUUAAAUUGAUAAAAUAAAAUUAUAAAUAAUAACUAUUUGAUGACAUUAAACAAGUUAAAAAGUUAAAGGGGUAAUUUUAAAAGCUUUGAUUUCCAAAAGAAGAAGAAUUUGAAUUCUUCAAUUCUUUGUAUAAAAUUCAAAUUCUAUAUUAGGAUGAAUAGUAAAUUCUAAUAAAAUUUAAAUUCUUAUAUAUUUUGUCCAACCAAACAAUUAAAAAAAAAAAUUCAAAUUACUUUCCUAUUCUCUAUCCUCACCUCCCAACCAAACACCAUCUAAACUCCUUAAUAUGCCACCCACAUAUUCAAACACCUUUGAGAAUCAAAGUAUCCCAGAUCUCCAGUAAGGAACCACCCAAAUUGAAAAGUAGUCUUAUUAGCCUCAGGAUUACCUUUAAUCAAAGUAUCCCAGAUCUUGCUAGCAAUCCUCUAGCAAGAUCUUGUACAUACAUAUGGAGGGGCUGAUUCAUUUGAUAUCUUUCAUGGUCUAUCUAAUGGCCUUCUUGUAUCUCCCCAACAUUUCCACUCAGCUCUUUACUUGAUCUGCAUUCAAAGAAGAUGAAAUGAUUACAUGUAGUGUGUUAUUAUCACCAAGAUAAACAUAUUUUAGAUGUGAAGGUAGAAGUUUUAAGUAUAAAACAUGAGGUAAUUCAAUAGAUGGUACAGCAGGUUUCACUUCCCCAUUUGAAAGAUCUAGAGACUCAAAAUGUCUGUUUGUCCUCACAGGUCGCUUCUCUCUUAACUAUGCUAUAUGCGUUGCUGCAGCAUCUUCAUCUUCAAGUUCUUCAAAUGUGGCGGCCUUGAUUUCUUCAUUGUUGCAGCAAUUAUUUAAGAUGUCUGUGACAGUAAGCUUCACAGCACCGACCAAAUCACAAUCUUCAACUUCAUCAAGACUCAUCAUUGCUUCCAAUACAUUAAAGGUAACUUACUGAUCAUUAACCCUCAUACUCAACUCUCAUUUUUUAACAUCAAUUAAAGUUUUUCCUGUGGCUAAAAAGGGUUUGCCUAGAAUAAUUUGUACUUCUUUAUCUGCUUCAAAGUCCAACACUAUGAAAUCCACUGGAAAAAUGAAUUUAUCCACUUUAAUCAAUACAUCUUCAAUUUUGCCUUCAGGAUAAGCAUGAGAUUUAUCAGCAAGUUGCAAUGUCACUGUGAUUGGUCUGACUUCUCCAACUCCCAAUUAUGUGAAUACUGAUAAUGGCAUAAGAUUAAUGCUUGCUCUCAAAUCACAAAGUGUCUUACUAUUGUAUUUAGUUCUUGUGGAACAAAGAAUUUUAAAACUUCCUGGAUCCUUUAACUUCUAAGGAAUUUUACUUUAAAGUAUAUGGUUCCAUUAUUGUCUUAAAGCAACUAUUUUGAAUUCUCCAAGCCUUUUUUUUCUUGCCAAUAUAUCUUUAAAAAACUUCACAUAAUUUGGCAUUUGUUCCAAUACGUCCACAAAAGAAAUUUUGAAAUGCAGUUGUUUUAAUACUUCCAAUAAUUUACUAAACUGCUUGUCAUGUUUUUACUUCUGAAAUCAUUACGGGAAGAUUUCCCCUUGGGUAUAAUUAGGUUAUGUUCUUCUUUUUGGUACUUUAACUAAAAUAUGAACAUCCUUUUCAGACCUUAAGUUAAUCACCUUGCAAUGCUCUUUUCUUUCUCUUCUUGGAUCCUCUGUAUUGCUUAGUAAAUUGCCCUAAGGUAUGUUGCUCAAUGCUGUAGCAAGCUGUCCAAUCUGAUUCUCCAAGUUUCUUAAAGAUAUGGCUUGACUUUGGACUACUACUUCAUUCUUCACAAUAUACUCCAUAAUUAGAGUUUCAAAGGAACUAAAUUGAUCAUUACUGGUGUUUAUUUUCCCUUAAAAUUGCUGAUGAAAUCCAAGUGGCUAAGCAGGUCUGUUAUGUCCAUUAGAUGUUGCAACAUGCUGAUUCUGAUUGCUCCAUGAAAAGUUUGGGUGCUGUCUCCAUUCAGGAUUAUAGAUGUUUGAAAAUGGAUUGGUUUGAUUUUGUCUAUUGAAAUUGCCCGCAUAAUUGACUAAGCUGGAUUUCCAGGACAACUAUCAUAUAGAUGUCCCUCUCCACAAUAAACACAAGAGACUUCAGCAACUUGGUUAGUUGUUGCUGGAGCAGUGGUCGUUGAUUUUACCAUAUUUGUUAAUGAGGUUACUUGGGCUGAUAAUGAUGUCAGUGCAUCCACAUUGUGUACUCCAGUUACUCCUCUUAUUGCGGCUUGUCUAAUUAAUGGCCAUUAAUAGUUAUUGUUGGCUAUCUUUUUCAAAAUUUCAUAAGCCUCAUUGUAUUACUUAGACAACAAGGCCCCUAGUGUUUGAGUUCAACCCAUUGUAGAUAGUUUCCAAUUGUACACAACAAGGAAUACCAUGAUGAAGGCAUCUCCUGGGUAACUCCUUGAAUCUUUCCCAUGCAUCAUACAAGCUUUCAUCUUCAAGUUGAUGGAAAGAUGUGAUCUCAUUCCUCAACUUUACAUUCUUUGUCGGUGGGAAAUAUUUCAUCAAAAAUUUGUCAGCCAAAUCAUUCCAUGUGGUGAUGGAGUCUAGUGGCAAAGAAUUCAACCAUGCCCUUGCUUGAUCUCUUAAAGAAUACGGGAAAAUUUUGAGUCUCAAUGCAUCUUGUGAUGCUCCAGCAAUUUUAAAAGCAUCACUUACCUCCAAGAAUAGUUUAAGGUGAAGAUGAAGAUCUUCUUAUGGCAAUUCAUUGAAUUGCCCCACUGUUUGUAAUAUCUAAAACAUCACUGGUUUGAGCUCGAAAUUGACAACUUGCAUUUCAGGUCUAACUAUUCCAGGAUGUAUAACUUGAGGGGUCAACACGGCAUAGUCUCUAAUGGCUCUGUCUCUAUCAUCUGUCAUGUAGAUAAUAUUGUUGUUCCCUGGUUGUCCCCAAAUAUUCUGCUCAUUAUGGCUUUCUUGGUCAUUAACUGGUUAUAUUUCUCUGUGAGGGUUCAAGUUCCUCAUAUCUUGCAAAUCGUCCAUUACUACAGCAGCUUUUGAAUGCUUAUUCUCUUUCCUCAAUCUCCUUACAAUUCUUUCAAUCUCUGGAUCAAAUUGGAAUUCAACAUGUUUGUAUUUGCGCAUGCAAGGGUUGGUAGAGCUCUUCUACAAACACAUUAAAAAAAAAGAAAAUUAAAAUCUUGCAUCAACUAAAAUUGAUUUCACAAAACACAAUAAGCACCAAUCCCCGGCAACGACGCUAAAAACUUAUUGUAGGUUUUCUAAUGCUAUUAGUGUCAAUGUGCAAGUGCACAUAACAAGUAAUAUAAUGAUAAAUAUUCUAGAUUGUCUCCACAAGGAUUAUUGUUAUAGGAAUUGCUACAACAAUUUUAUCAGUGCAAUUUUUAUUCUAAAUUAGAAUUAAAAUAAAUUAUUAAAUUAAUGAACUAAUUAAGAUAAAAAUGCAAUAAGAAAAAUACAAUAACAUAAAUUAUCACAGCAAAUAUAAGGAUGUAACCAAGGGGAAUGGAGUAGUUGAGUAAUUAAACUCACUUAAUGGUUUUGAUUAUUUUUCUAAUGUUUGGUUCGAUUACUACAACAUCUUCUACAGCACUGGGAAGAAUCCUUAUGUAUCCUCAAUUGUCGCAUGUUGGAUGUCUUAUACCUAAAAACAACUUAACAAUGACCAAUUGUUAUGCUAACAUUAGAUAUAGCAUUACACGUUUUAGAUUCGAAUUACCCUACAAGGUGAAUCCUUAUAUCUAGUUCAUCACUAAUUUUAGAUUACGCAUGACCUUUUUUUAAUCAGGUUAAACCCAAUUCAGGAAACCCAAUCUAAACCCAACUUAGGAAACCUAAUCUAAACCAAGUAUUGUUAUGAUAUGUUCCACUAAGACAGGUCUUUAUAGGCUCUAUCUUAGCUAAUAUCACUAAAUGGGUGGUCAGCCAAAAUAGUGAAUUGAAAUAAGUAUUAUUAAAACAACGUACUAUAGCAAACAUGCCCCAAUAUAGUAUAUCAGUCAAUUAACUAUCAAGUUUGCUCAUCGCUCAACCACGAGUAAAUUUAGUUCAUAAUUUGCAAUAAAACAAUAAUCAAAAUAGUUUUAGCCAUCAAAUAAUCCAUCAUAACAAGAUAAAAGUAAGAGAACAAAAAAUAAGAGUUGAGAUCUGUUUGAUGUUCUUCUAGAAUUCUUUGUUGCCGUCUUCGAUUCUCUCUCUUGAUAUUUGUUUUAUCUUGUUUUGUUUCUCUAUUGUUUCUCUCAAAUGACGGUCUCUCCUUUUUCUUUGCGUUUGUACUUCUUUUAUAUCUUAGCAUCAGGGCAACCGGAAGCCUAGGGUGCGCAUAUUCUAGUUUAGGAAACUCAAGAUCGCAAUCUUCCAAGUAUUAUAAGCGAAAUCUUUUCUGCCAUUGUUCCAGGAUUGCUACAGGAACAAUGCUACAGCAAUGGCUUCAGCACCUGCACUGUUCCAGAAUUGUUUCAAUUCUUAUAUAACCAUAUUCUUUCUUUAUCUUUGCAAGCCUAUUGCAGCAGCAUUCCUCCCUUGAAAUUUGAGCUUCCGGUCACCUAUAAUUAUAUUAUGAUCUAAGCACAAAAAUUAUUCUGAAACAAUGCAAUUUAUUAAAAUAAACUAUGGAUAUUCAUACAAAAUAUAACUAAAAUGCAAUAAAAAUAUGCCAUUUACUCUCUAAGUAAUCUUGAUUUAAGUCUAAAAAUGUCAUGAAAACUUUCAUUUCACAGAGUUAUCAGCAGCAAAAGGGUUAAUCCAACUAUUGAUUUAGAUCAAGUCUAUAAUGACAAUAACCCCUAACUAUUUGAGCUUAAAGCUCUUGCCAGCAAAUGGGCAAUUGGGAUGAAAGUCCUCUAUAAACAACUUGAAUAGAUAAGUAAAGAAAAAAAAAUGUGGCUUCACUAAGUCAAAACAAAACAUAUAAUCUAUUCAUUCAGUAAAAAAGAAAACAUUUUAGCCAAGCAAGCCAUCUUGAAAAAGAAAAAGGCAAUAUAUGAGAAUCUCGUGGAAUCCAACCUGCCAACACACAGUGGGAUAUGCAAGGUGCUUAAUCAUCAAUCAGAUUCUGGCUUUUGCUAUAAAAAAAAAAUCAAAAGAAUAAUCUAGUAAGGAAGACAUGCCGCUAGAUGAAGAGCUCAUAAUUAACACGUGACAGGAGGCCACUAAAAAGAUAAAGAUGCCAACUAGAAGCAUUAAUAUUUCAGAAAGAAUCCAAAGUAAAGGAUAAGACUUAUCGAAAUCCUUACCUCAACCAUGUGAAGACUAUCAACCAUUAGAAAAAGAAGACAAAAGUUGCCCUUAAUAAUGCAAGAAGAAGGGGUUACCUUAUCUCUGGGAAAUCUAUCAGGCAACAAGUGUCAUGUAAAAAGAUAUAAUCUUAUCUCUAAAAUCUAUAUGUGUAAGAAAGGAUUAUCUUAUCUAUCUAAAUCUAUAAAUAAAGUCACGUAAGAUAGAAGAGGUAUCACUCACGAGCAUUCUCUUAUUCUCAUCUGUAUUCUCUCUUUAAAUUCAAAAAUUAAAUAAAAAAAUUGUUUUUGAGUGAAAUUAUUAUCUUUAUAUAACUUAUUUAGAUUUUAGAAAAAAAAAAUCAAGAAUAUACAUGCCAACACUUGUGCUAAAUAAAGAAGAUUUCAUAUUACUAAGCACUCUUCUAUAUCAAUUACAACAGAUUCACUUAGGCAUAUCUUACUGGCUUAGUCUGCAAUGUGUUGCUUUAGGCCGUGUGGAAUAGUUGUGGGAUUGAUCUUGCAUGAUGUGUGGAGCUAUAACAGUGCUGAGCAUGGGCCAAUUUAUAGGCUCAUGGAACUAGCAAAAUUAUUCUAGAAUUUUGAGGAUUGUACUCUAGUUAGUACUCUAAAUUAUCUUAUUAUAUUUUGCACAAAUAAAUGAUAUAGAGUGAUAAUAGCAACUCAAUUUUCAUAAAACAUGGAAAGAUGAGUCGCCAAAUUUCUAGAUGCCAUAGAUAAUCUAGACUUUAGUAAGGAAUAUCAAGUUAUUUAUACAAUGAAAAUUGUUAAAUCUCGAUUAAUUGCAAGGAAGCACUUGUAGAGAGAUAUAGAGAGAAUAAACUAUUAGCCUAAAAGGGCUACACAUAUUGUAAUUUUGAUGAUAACAAACAUGUGUCUUAAGUGAUUUGAUAAAUAUUGUAUAUCACAUUUUCAUUAGUUCUUGAAAGAUAAUAUUUAUGAUGAAGUGAAUCACGAAAAAUCAAGCUCAAGACACUCAACGGACAACGGCGUGAUCAAGAAUAAAGUUUAGAGUUCAACGGAAUCAUUAUUGCGACAAUUCUUGUAAAGCCGGUAUGAUUUAAAAUAUGAAUGAUUUAGCAUUUAAAAAGCUCAAGAUUUUGUUUAAUAAAUCAUUAUUUUUUCAUAAAUCAAAAGUUUUACAAGUAUAAGCUAAGUAUUUUAUGAAAUUAGUUAUUUUUCAAGAUGUGGACUAAAAUGAAAAUUUUUUACAAUCUUUGAUUUUAAAAAGUAUUGUUUUGAAUUCCAGAGUUUGACUUAUUUGCAAACAUUUAAAACUUUUUAGGUCAUACUAUAAUUUAUGAACGUUUGAGGACCCGAAGUGAAAAUAUCCAAAAAUUUGAUAAAGAGUUAGCGGCUAAUCGCCUGAGGGCUAGCGGCUAGCUGCCUAAGGAAAAUCUCAUAUUUUCAAAUUUUGGACUAAAUUAAAAGAUUUUGAGAACUUUGAAAUUUAUAAGUAUUAUGUUAAAUUUUGAAAAAAAUUAUUAAACUUUGGACCAUAUCAUAAUUUCAAAAAGUUUUUAGAAUAACAAGUAUUAUUUUAAAAUUCAAAAGUUGGACCUGUUUGUAAAGUGUUAUAACGUUUUGGGCCAUAGUAUAAUUACAUAAAGUUUUGGGCACAAAUGUAACUUUAUUGUUCUGAAGCAACGAGCCGGAUAAAUUAAGUGGCUAGUCACUUGUUUGCUGGAAUUUACCCAUAACGGCUAAUUUUCAAGCUUUAUCUAUAAAAACUCAACUCCAACUUCAAUUUGGAGACUUUUGCAAGCAUAAACAAGUGCAUAAAAUAUAUAUUGAGCUUUUAUUUCGCAAAUCAUCUUAUAUUGAAUCAUCAUUGUGCUAUUAUUUGUAGAUCUACUCUAAAAGAGAGUUUUUUUUGUUGUAUUAUUCAUUUUUCUCAUCAAAUUUGUAAGUGUAUAAGUGUGAGAAACACUUAUGUGAAGAGAUUGAGAGAUAAUCUCUUGGUUGUAAAGGUUUAUUGACAUCUUGAAAGUCAAAUGUAAUGAACUUGAAGCCUUGGGAAACUUGAAUAGUGAAAUCCUUAAGGUUGGUUGGCUUGGAGGCAUGGACGUAGGCGGGGAUUGCGGAACCACGUAAAAAUUAUUGUGUUUGCUCUAUUUUCCCUUACUCUUCUAUUAUUGUACUUUAUUGAAUUUUUUAUUUUUUAUUUGAUUAAGACAAUAGAUUGAAUUGUUGUGCGAAUUGUUUAGCGUAAGUUUUAAAAUCUCAAUUCACCUCCCCCCCCCCUCUUGGAUUGCAUAACUUGCAUUUCAUAAACUUUAAAGAUAAUAAUUAAAUAUACGACAGCUUUAAGGAAGAAAAUAGAAUAGUAUUAAUAGAAUCUAUUUUAACCGGUCUUGAAAUAAUUCAAGACAGAUGCAAAAUAAAUAACAGGACUCUAAACCGUCCAUAAUAAGUCUAUUGAUGAAUAAAAACAAUAAUAGUGAUGUGAAUAUAUUCGGAUUUUAUAGAUUUUUAUGAAUUUGAUAACCAUUUAGAUCUUUAUAAAAUUAUAAUAAAACUUUAAAAAGCUUUAAAAAUAUAUGUAGAAAAGAUGGAAGAAGAAAUCAUCCAUUUAUUCAAAAUCAAUUAAACAAAAAUAAAAGGUAAAAUACUUGAGUUAUAUCAAUUAUACAAUUUCACAAAAAUUUUACAUAGAUUGCAAAAAGGUCCUUGUGGCACUACAGCAGGUUUCAUAAAUUUUUUACAUACAAAUUUUAUGUUUUAAAAUAUGAAUUUUUUUUUGUAUUUAAUACUUUGUUCAACUAUAUGUACAGGUCCUCAACGUGUUGGUUGAUGUUGAAUAUUCAAAGAUCCACAAGCUAUCAAUGACAACGACUCAAAUUAAACUAAUUCGUUAAUACAUAAUAACUGGGUUGUUUCCUAUGCUUGUUAAUGAUGUAGGACGUUGUUUUAGAAUUUUAGAAUUUUAAUUUUUUAGGUCUUCUGAUAUUUUCUUUUUUAAUUAAAGUUAGUGUCUUAGUCUUUUAUUUCUAUUGUAAUUAUGAUUUACUUUCCCUUUUUAAGUUAACUUAUAAAAGUAGAUUUACUCUAUUAUAAAUAAAGAGAUCUUGUUAUCGCUUUUAUAACUUCAACUUCAGUUAUUAAAUUAAAAACCCCUCUUUUAUAAUUUCCUUUGGUAUUAUCUAUUAAAAAUUCCUCUUUUAGAGUUGUUUGAUUAGAGUAUCAUUUAGCCUAUCUUAACACAGUAUUAAAAAUCCCAUUGAGUUUAAUCAUACUUCGAUUUGAGCGUAAUUAAUAGCAUUGAUUUGGUCCAGUACUUGAACGAUAUCUAGUGUUUUGCUUCUGCUACGCCCAAGGAGAAAAUGAAUUUCACCGUGAGAUAAGAGCAUUAAAAGGAAUUCAUAAGAAAUUUAAAUUAAAUUAGCUACGAAGUGAAAAUAAAUAAAUAAAUAAAUGAAUAUGAAGUUGAAAAUAAGUCUCGCCGCCUGGAUCCAAGGCCAAAACAUUCAUGAUAAGUUAGGUAAUUAAGUACAUGUUUUCAAGCUCUUCAUGAAGAAUAAUGUUAUUGAAAUAAAUCACAAAGACUCCCUGCGCAAAUUAUUACAUUGAUUAAAAAAAAAAUGCCAUAUCUUUAACAGGAUCGUGGCUCUCGGACUGUUAAUUACUUUAUUCCCUGCUUGGCCAACAGCUGGCCACUAAACAAAAUCAUAAAAAUUUUAAAUUUAGUCAAAUUGGUCCCACUUGAUGUCAUCCUUUUCAUACAUAAAAUUGUUUAACGUCAAGGUUAAAUAUGAGAAGUUUGGUAGAGACGGUAAAAAGGAAGUCUAUAUAAGGAGGGGAACGAGCUUUGUUUAUAGCACAAGUGAAACUCCACUUUAUUGAACGAUAGGGUCUCAAAUGGGCUGCCUCUUUGCCACUCUUUUGGUAGUAUCAGUCUCUCUUAGCUACUUGCCGUUAGAAGCCUCCGCAAACAAAUACUACUACACAUCUCCUCCCCCUCCCAAGUACAAGUCUCCACCCCCCCCGCCACCGGUUCACAAUUCUCCACCACCACCCCCGGUUUACAUGCCCCCGCCACCUCCUCCACCAGUCUACGUGCCUGCUCCGGCACCAACUCCAAUUUCCUAUUCCCCGCCACCUCCUGUCCCCAAGUCCCCACCACCACCUCACCCUUACGUCUAUGCAUCUCCCCCUCCUCCUUACUACUACUAGAAAGCGGCCAUGAAUAGCUCAUGCUUUUAUGGUAAUCUCAUUUAUUUUUAAAACU
rnacentral:lncRNA from 1 species